GUUGAGGAUGUGGACGAUGGACAUGAAGUUGAACCUCGCGAAACCCUAGCCUCCAUCAUGCACCGAGUGGCCGGUCGUGUUGAUUUUGACAAAAUUCUCAUCGGCAUAUCGGAAGGUAGAGUCACUCGUAAACAAUUGACAAACUUCUGUGCUCACUUCUCAUUUUGUGUCUAAUAUUGAGCCUCUCAAGGUACAAGAAGCAUUGAUGGACAAUGAUUGGCUCAUCGCUAUGCAAGAAGAGUUGAACAACUUUGAACGCAAUCAAGUGUGGUCAUUAGUCAAGAGGCCAACCACGGAACACAAUGUCAUUGGAACAAAAUGGAUUUUCAAGAACAAGCAAUAUGAGAAUGGUGUGAUCAUCUGCAACAAGGCAAGGUUAGUGGCACAAGGGUACUCACAAGUUGAAGGUUUGGACUUUGGUGAGACCUUUGCCCCCGUUGACCGUCUUGGAUCUAUUCACAUCUUACUUGCAUACGCUGCUUUCAAUGGCUUUACAUUACAUCAAAUGGAUGUGAAGAGUGCUUUACUUAACGGUCCUAUACAAGAAUAAGUAUAUGUAUCACAACCACCUGGGUUUGUUGAUCCUGAUCACAAAGACUAUGUGUAUGAACUUCAUAAGGCUUUGUAUGGCCUCAAACAAGCACCUCGUGCUUGGUAUGAUCAUCUUAAGAAGUUUUUACUCGAUGAUGGUUUUGUGAGAGGGGUGAUCGAUCCCACUCUUUUUACUAAGAGGGACAAGGGUGAUUUGAUCUUAUGCCAAAUCUAUGUAUAUGAUAUCAUUUUUGGUUCUCCUAACAUUCAUUUGUGCAAGAAGUUUGUGGCUUCCAUGACCAAGAACUUUGAGAUGUCACUCAAUGCAGAUUUGAAGUUCUUUCUUGGAUUCCGAAUUCAACAAUUUCAAGAAGGAAUUUUCUUGUCUCAAGCAAAGUACCUCAAGGAUAUCCUAGUGAAGUUUGGCAUGUUUGAUGCUAUUCCGUGUAAGACACCCAUGCCAACAAAAAUUGUACUCACUAAAGACACAAACAGUAUCCCUUUUGACCCAUCUAUUUAUCGCUCUAUGAUUGGUUCAUUGCUUUAUCUUUGUGCAUCUAGACCAGACAUCAUGUUCAGUGUAUGCAUGUGUGCUAGAUUUCAAGCUUCCCCUAAGGAAAGUCAUCAUAAGGUGGUUAAGCAUAUUCUUAGAUACCUUGUUCACACCCCAAAGUUGGGUCUAUGGUACCCCAAGGAUGCUAAGUUUGAUCUCAUUGGGUACACGGAUGCGGAUUGGGAUGGAGACAAAGUGGAUCAUAAGUCCACCUCCGGUGCAUGUCAAUUUUUUGGACGCUCCUUGGUAAGUUGGUCCUGGAAGAAACAAAAUUGUGUUGCCCUCUCCACCACUGAAGCUGAAUACAUUGCAACCGCCAGUUGUGCAACUCAAUUACUAUGGAUGAGACAAACUUUGAAGGAUUACGGUAUCACCUAUAGACAUGUGCCUCUUUUAUGUGAUAAUGAAAGUGCAUUGAUAUUAGGUAUCAUUUCUUGAGAGAUCACGUUGAAAAGGGUGACAUUGAUAUUUCUCAUGUUGGCACAGAUAUGCAACUUGCCGACAUUUUCACCAAGCCAUUGGAUGAAGCAAGAUUUUGUCAACUUAUGCGUGAACUUGGUAUCUUGGAGCUUGACAACAUUAUUUAAAAUCUAGUACCCAUCCAUGCAUGCACUUAAUUUCAUGUCUUGAUGUAGCCAUAUAUUUAAGGGGGCAGAGGGCAUUCAAUUCAUGAGUACUCUCACCCUACAUAAAGCAUAAAUAGAACAAACACUCUCAAAGUUAUCAUGGUUUUCGAACUAUGGUGCUUUAAAUGAUGGAGUCGUGACUAUGUACCCAAAGCCGAAAUCUUUGCGGUACUAUGUCCCAUAUGAUCAAACAUGGUGACUUCGGUCACCGCUUGUGCAUUGCUUAAAUAUGAACCUUUCUUCCCUUAAUGUUGUUGGGUUAUUUUGCGCAUCUUAGUAUGGCCAUAACAUUACUUUGUUCUUCAUCUCUACAAAUUCUAAAAUCUCCUUGGCGGAGUCUAUAUCACAAAAUACCACUAUAUGGCCCCUUUCAUUGUCUUCUCCCUGUUGAUAUCUCUGUCUAGUGGUUGGACAUCUGGGACCUGGCAAUUCUCUUCUGCUUAAAAUCGCCGGGCGCCUACAGUGGCUGGACAUCCAGGCCUUUGCCAGACAUCCGGGCCCUAGAAAUCCUCUCUCUGACCUCUAGUCACCGAAUAUCCGGGCUUGGACCCUGGAUGUCCAGCCCGUCAACCGCAGACUCACAAAACGGGGGAGCGCUCGGGAUUUGGGGGCUAUUCCUAUUUCUUUCCUCUCUUUCUCUCCCCAUCUCUCUCAAACCACCGCCGCCCCCAGGCUGUGCUCCGGCGCUGCCCUGGCCAUCUCCUCCAUCCACCGUCACCGAUCUCCUACCCACACCUGAAGUAAAUAUGCCCUAGAGGCAAUAAUAAAGUUGUUAUUUAUAUUUCCUUACAUCAUGAUAAAUGUUUAUUAUUCAUGCUACAAUUUUAUUAACCGGAAACUUAGUGCAUGUGUGAAUACAUAGACAAAACUGAGUGUCCCUAGUAUGCCUCUACUUGACUAGCUUGUUAAUUGAAGAUGGUUAAGUUUCCUAACCAUAGACAUGUGUUGUCAUUUUAUUAACGAGAGCAUCAUUAGAGAAUGAUGUGAUGGACAAGACCCAUCUCUUAGCUUAGCAUUAUGAUCGUUUAGUUUUAUUGCUAUUGCUUUCUUCGUGACUUAUACAUGUUCCUCUGACUAUGAGAUUGUGCAACUCCCAAAUACCAGAGGAACACCUUGUGUGCUAUCAAACAUCACAACGUAACUGGGUGAUUAUAAAGAUGCUCUACAGGUCUCUCCGAUGGUUUUUAUUGAGUUGGCAUAGAUCGAGAUUAGGAUUUGUCACUCCCUGUAUUGGAGAGGUAUCUCUGGGCCCUCUUGGUAAUGCACAUCACUAUGAGCCUUGCAAGCAAUGUGACUAAUGAGUUAGUUAUGGGAUGAUGCAUUAUGGAACGAGGAACGAGACUUGCCGGUGACGAUAUUGAACUAGGUAUGAUGAUACCGACGAUCGAAUCUCGGGCAAGUAACAUACCGAUGACAAAGGGAACAACGUAUGUUGUUAUGUGGUUUGACCGAUAAAGAUCUUCAUAGAAUAUGUAAUAACCAAUAUGAGCAUCCAGGUUCUACUAUUGGUUAUUGACUGGAGAUGUGUCUCGGUCAUGUCUACAUAAUUCUUGAACGCGUAGGGUCCGCACUCUAAACGUUCAAUGACGAUUUGUAUUAUGAGUUAUGUGAUUUGAUGAACCGAUGUUUUUCGGAGUCCCGGAUGAGAUCAUGGACAUGAUGAGGAGUCUCGAGAUGGUCAACAUGUAAAGAUUGAUAUAUUGGAAGCUUAUGUUUGGACACCGGAAUGGUUUCGGAAAGGUUCGGACAUUUUCUGGAGUACUGGGGGGUUACCGAAACCCCCCUGGGGAGUUAAUGGGCCUUCAUGGGCCCUAGUGGAGAGAGGAGGCGGCGGCCAGGUGGAGGCGCGCGCUCCCCCAAGCCCAAACCAAAUUGGACUAGGGUUGGGGGGGCGUCCCCCCUUUCCUUCUUCUCCUCCACCUCUUUCCCCUUCCCUCCUUCUCCGAAAAGGAAAGGAGGGGGCCGAAUCCUACUUGGACCGGGAGUCCAAGUAGGACUCCCCCUUGGCGCGCACCCCUUGGGCCGGACACCUCUCCUCCCCCUUUAUCUACAUGGUAGGGGCACCCCAAAGGUACACCAAGUCUUCUCUUAGCCGUGUGCGGUGCCCCCCUCCACAGUUACACACCUCAGUCAUAUCUUUGUAGUGCUUAGGCGAAGCCCUGCGCCGGUAACUUCAUCAUCAUUGUCAACACGCCGUUGUGCUGAUGAAACUCUCCCUCGUCCUCAACUGGAUCAAGAGCUCGAGGGACGUCAUCGAGCUGAAUGUGUGCUGAACACGGAGAUGCCGUACAUUCGGUGCUUGGAUCGGUUGAAUCACGAAGACGUUCGACUACAUCAACCGCGUUACUAAACGCUUCUGCUUUCAGUCUACGAGGGUAUGUGGACACACUCUCCCCUCUCAUUGCUAUGCAUCACCUAGAUAGAUCUUGCGUGAUCGUAGGAAUUUUUUUGAAAUACUUCGUUCCCCAUAGCUGAUCCAGAUGACUCUCCCCUCUCGAUGCAAGCUUUGAUACUAAUCUGGAUGACUCUAAGUCACAAACCGGAUACGUAUUUAUAUUGAAUGGUGGAGCUGUCAGUUGGUGCAGUUCGAAGCAGAGCAUCGUGGCGGGAUCUACGUGUGAAGCGGAGUACAUAGCUACUUCGAAAGCAGCAAAUGAAGGUGUCUGGAUGAAGGAGUUCAUAUCCGAUCUAGGUGUAAUACCUAGUGCGUAGGGUCCAAUGAAAAUCUAUUAUGACAACACUAGUGCAAUUGCCUUGGCAAAGGAAUCCAGAUUUCACAAGAGAACCAAGCACAUCAAGGGACACUUCAAUUCCAUUCGCGAUCAAGUCAAGGAGGGAGACAUAGAGAUUUGCAAGAUACAUACGGAUCUGAAUGUUGUAGACCCGUUGACUAAGACUCUCUCAUGGCCAAAACAUGAUCAGCACCAAUACUCCAUGUGUGUUAGAAUCAUUACUAUAUAAUCUAGAUUAUUGACUCUAGUGCAAGUGGGACACUGGAGGAAAUAUGCCCUAGAGGCAAUAAUAAAGUUGUUAUUUAUAUUUCCUUACCUCAUGAUAAAUGUUUAUUAUUCAUGCUAGAAUUGUAUUAACUGGAAACUUAGUGCAUGUGUGAAUACAUAGGCAAAACUGAGUGUCCCUAGUAUGCCUUUACUUGACUAGCAUGUUAAUCGAAGAUGGUUAAGUUUCCUAACCAUAGGCAUGUGUUGUCAUUUGAUUAACAAGAUCACAUCAUUAGAGAAUGAUGUGAUCGACAAGACCCAUCUAUUAGCUUAGCAUUAUGAUCGUUUAGUUUUAUUGCUAUUGCUUUCUUCGUGACUUAUAGAUGUUCCUCCAGCUAUGAGAUUGUGCAACUCCCGAAUACUGGAGGGACACCUUGUGUGCUAUCAAACAUCACCAACGUAACUGCAUGAUUAUAAAGAUGCUCUACAUGUGUCUCCGAUGGUGUUUGUUGAGUUGGCAUAGAUCGACAUUUGGAUUUGUCACUCCGUGUAUCGGGGAGGUAUCUCUGGGCCCUCUCGGUAAUGCACAUAACUAUACGCCUUGCAAAAAUGAGACUAAUGAGUUAGUUACUGGAUGAUGCAUUAUAGAAUGAGUAAAGAGACUUGCCGGUGACGAGAUUGAACUAGGUAUGACGAUACCGACGAUCGAAUCUCGGUCAAGUAACAUACCGAUGACAAAGGGAACAGCAUAUGUUGUUAUGCGGUUUGACCGAUAAAGAUCUUCGUAGAAUAUGUUGGAGCCAAUAUGAGCAUCCAGGUUCUGCUAUUGGUAAUUGACCGCAGAUGUGUCUCGAUCAUGUCUACAUAGUUCUCGAAUAUGUAGGGUCCGCACGCUUAACAUUCAAUGAUGAUUUGUAUUAUGAGUUAUGUGAUUUGAUGAACCGAAGUUUGUUCGGAGUCCCGGAUAAGAUCACGGACAUGACAAGGAGUCUCGAAAUGGUCGAGAUGUAAAUACUGAUAUAUUGGAAGGUUAUGUUUGGACACCGGAAUGGUUUCAGAAAGGUUCAGACAUGUUCCGGAGUAACGAGGGGUUACCGGAACCCCCCCGGGGAGUUAAUGGGCCUUCAUGGGCCCCAGUGGAAAGAGGAGGCGACGGCCAGGUGGAGGCUCCCCCCCAAGCCCAAACCAAAUUGGACUAGGGUUGGGGGGCGGACGCCCUUUCCUUCUUCUCUUCCACCUCUUUCCCCUCCCCCUUCUCCGGAAAGGAAAGGAGGGGGCCGAAUCCUACUUGGACCGGGAGUCCAAGUAGGACUCCCCCCUUGGCGUGCCCCCUUGGGCCGGCCACCUCUCCUCCCCCUAUAUAUAUGUGGGAGGGGGCACCCCAAAGGUACACCAAGUCUUCUCUUAGCCGUGUGCGGUGCCCCCCUCCACAGUUACACACCUCGGUCAUAUCGUUAUAGUGCUUACACUACAAAAAAAAAUACACUUCCGUGAUGAUACGUGUUUGUCACAGUAGGUCGCUUUUUUUGUCAUGCAUGUACAUCCAUGAAAAAUUUAUGAUAGAAUCAAGAUAGUCAUACCUGUGCUGUCAUAGAAGUGUUCCAUGACAUUACCAAAAUUAUCAUCACGGAAGUGUCCACUUCCAUGACGAUAAAUCGCGCGUCACAGAAGUGCUUUCGUCAAGGGUGACCGACACGUGGCAUCCACUGUAACGGAACGCCGUUAAGCUAUCGGGUUGGGUUUUGGAUCCAAUAACCCGUUAACAGCCCCCACCAAUGGGGAUUUUCCACGUGUAAAAUCAUCAUUGGCUAGAGGAAACACGUGUCGGCUCAUCGUCGGGACAGAUGUCAUCCACUCACUGGACAGAAGGCACCUAUGAUACGUCGACACAUGGCACGGCCCAACAAGUUUAAAUGGGCUGGCCCAACUAAAGGCCAACAAGAUUUUGCGGACCAUAAUGGGCCGGCCCAGCUAAAGGCCCACGAGAUUUUGCGGACCAUAAUGGGCUGGCCCAGCUAAAGGCCCACAAGAUUUUGCGGGCCAUAAUGGGCCGGCCCAGGUAAAGGCCCACAAGAUUCUUGCGGGUCAUAUGGGCCGGCCCAGCUAAAGGCCCACGAGAUUUCGCUGACAUUAAUGGGACGGCCCAGCUGUAGGCACAUAAGAUUUUGAGGACCCUAGUAGGCCGGCCCAUUAACUGGCUGCCAUGUUUUGGGCCAAAUGUUGGCCCAUAUUUGAUCCGGUCCAUUAAUGGACUGCCACACUCCGGGCCUAAUAGUGUCCCAUAUGAGAUCCGGCCCGUUAAAAGCCUACCAUGUUCUGGGCCAAAUUACAGCCCAGAUCAGGUCCGACCCUUUAAGAGGCUUUGGGCUCAAUUAUGGCCCAUAUCAGAUUCGGCCUGUCAACUGGACACUAUGCUUUUGGGCCCACUUGCUAAAGGCCCACUUAGUAAUUCAGCCUGAUAUUAGUUUUGGCCUGUAAAGGGCCCGUUUAACAUUUCUGGCCUAUGUUAAUUUCGGCCUGUUAAAAGCCCGUCAUAUAGUUGGGCCUAACUACGGCCCGAUUUGCAUCCAGCCUGCUCGCAGCCGAUAUCUGAUUGGGCCAAACAAGGACCCAGACAAUUUUGGCCUGUUAAAAGCCCGUGAUUUGAUUUGCACAAUCAAGGGCCGGGGUUCAUUUUGGCAUGCUGCGUAACUAGUUGGAAUUAAGAACAAACCUACUCUAUACAAUAAAGAAAUUACGACAUGGUAACUAUGAAUAAACCUACACUACACAAUAAAGGAUUUAAGGUAUAUUACAUCCACUGGGCAGCAUCAAAGUUCGCCACCAGUGAUCAUAAAGUGCAACAAAGAAGCAUAUUACAAAAACUGGGCACCAUUGCAGCGUAACAAAAUAAUACUGAACCGAGACCACUUCCAAGACAGAAGAAAGGUUAGCCUUGCGGGGGAACUGAUGCGCAAGCUGCUGAGCAAGGCUGUGAGACCGGCCAAGCAUGUCGGUCAUAGCUUCCAGGUGUAGCUAUUUAGCGAUGAGGUUCUCAUUGGUGUUCUCCGCAAUCUUUCUUAGAGAUAGGACUUCAAGUCGAAGUUGAGUUGCAGAAUGCCUUUCUGCUAGAACUUGGGACUGAAGAAGUCGAACUGAUUCAGACAACGAAUUCUAUGAGCUUGUCUGACUGUUAGUCUCAGGUAACUUGAACACUGCAUCAAGACAAGACUUUGGGGUUGUCUCGCUAUCUUCAAGAUGUUUUGCCUUCUUUGCUACAAUAUAUGUUGGGUUUGUCUCACAGCCUUCAGCAGACUUGUGCAUGCCAUCAGGCAUAUCACCCUGAAACAAAGCAGACAUAUGACAGGUUUUGCACGUGUAUAAACAAAGAUGAUAACUGUUCUGUCAAUUCUAUCCAAUUUCAAAUUAGAAAAAUAAAGAGUAUGUUCCAAAUAUCAAUAGCAUAAUUUGGCAUUGUUCAUAAUGCGGGGAGCUUCACCACACUACCGGAUUACCAUGUCAACAUAACAAGCAUAGAUGAAGGGCAAAGAAAAUCAUUGUAUCUAUUUUGGAUAAUGUGCAUGGCAUGUUGUUCAUAUCAUCAGCCACAUUAGUAAGAUAAAAUAGGAGAUGACAAGGUGCAAACGUGGGCUACUUCACCACACACUGGAUUAUAGAUCCACAAAAACAAGCAUACAUAUAGGGAGUAUUAAGUAAUGUGCAUGGUGUGAAUAAGGAAUUUGGUUUUACAAGUAAAACUUAGAACUUACGGUUCUUACGAACAUGCAUUUUGGUAGAAACAGCAAACUAAACAGCAGUAAAUGAUAGGGAGUAUGAGCAAAUUAAACAGCAGUUGAGGAUAAAGGCUUUAGAAGGACUGACUUACAUUAACGGUUAACACCGGCUUUAUAAUGCCCUUCUCCAUGGCAAGGGAAGGAUAACUCAAGAAUUUCAGCACAGAAUCUUCUUCAUAAGCAUUGCCUGUACUCUAUAUUUUGUAGAGAGUAAUUAUAGAUAUGAUAAUACUGGAAGGGACAGAGGAUAAUGAAGAUAAGAUGCAGAUUGAUGCUACAUAAUCAACUACCAAUCCCUGUAAGUACAAGCGUUACAGGACAAAAUGUACCGACAAGAGCAAUGGGCUACACUUCUGCACUGGCAUUGUCUGUGUACUUGUUGGUAAGAUUAAAUAUAGAUCUGAUCUUUUUUAGUAAAUGGUGGGCGAGGGAGAUAAGAUGUAGAAUGCUACAAAAUGAACCAAUCCCUCUUCCCAUAAUACAAGAGUGUUUUGAACACUGGUGUACUGUACAAAACAUUCUUAUAUUAUGGGACGGAGGGAGUAGCUGUUAAUGUAAGUAUAGUGAUAGACCACGUUCAGUCCUUACAAGAGGACUGUAGAGCUAAACCUCUUCAAAAGCAUUGGGUUGAUUCUAAAUUUAUGUAAGAGUCCAUACGGAUCUUAUAAUGUCCACCAAAUGGACGAUUACGAGGCUAACAUGUGCAGUGAUGCUACAUAAUCAAACAUCUAUGAAAGUAAGUAUGGUCAUACAGGGCAAGAGGUACUCACAAGAGCAAUGCAGUGUGCAGUAUAAUUGCGAGAUUCUGUGGUCCCUUGAGAACGAAUGUUCUUCUGCUAACAGUUUUCGUACAAGUGAGACAUUAAGGCAAAUGCAGAAAUGUAGUUCAAAUUGUGAUGUGAUAUCAUAGACAGUACCUUACGCUGCAGCCGAGACCAAUGUGUAACAACAUUAUUCCAGUCACCGUCGGAUAAAUGUAGCACCGGAGACUUUACAGAAAUUUCGUUCAGAGGCUUGCCAUCAAAGUGCGCUUGCCUCAGGUAGGAACGAUACUUCAUCAACGAGUGCUUGAAAAGCGCAACCAACCCUUGCUCAUCAUCACAAUCUAGUUUGCGCCUCGCCUAUUUAAAAGAAUGAAAUCUUGUGUCUUCUGUCAGCAGAAACAUAUGAAGUAAUGACCAUGAAUAACAUUAGUACAUUACUUACGCGUAAGUUGCAGAGGAAGACUGGAAAUUGUUCUGUGUCUACGGUAUUAUCUUUCCAUGAAGGAAAGAUGCGCACAAAGUUCCUGGCAACAACAUAAGCUUCGUCUUCUAAACUGGGAAGAAAUGGAACAGGGGUCCUAUUUGCUAGAAUUGGGGCUCUCUCUGGUUCGAAAAGGGAUUUGGCAACUGGAUUUGGUGUACUCUUUGCUGGAAUGGGGGUUUUGCGUCGUAUAGCUGGUGCUAUGUCAACUGGUAGAAUCAUACUAUUUGCUGCAGUUGGGGUCUGCUAAGUUGGAGCAUCAUAAAUGAACAGUGUAGUAGGGCUAGAGUCUGCUAGAGUUGGGGCAUUUUGUGGGACAGAUGAUAUUGCAACUACACCUAAUGGGCUAUUUGAUUUAUCAGGUGCCACUACCUUUUCCAAAUACUUUGCUUGUGCUCCUCCAUGAUCAGCAAUCGCCCUCUUCCUUUUGAACGUCUGAUACACAGGAACAUCAUUUGAAUGGAUAAAUAUGGUAUGAUGACAGAUGGAAUAUGUACUGAAAAUGGAUAGGCAGGGCGUAUUCACAUACACGAUGCGUAAACUAAGCUAAUGGCAGUUCAACAAAGUAGAAGCAAUGCAAAGCAUCAGUUGCAAGAUAUGUGCGAGCAAUGUAACCUUGGAAAGUUAGAGCAAGUACCUUGAUGGGUGAAUAAGAUAGGGCAUCUUCCUCUGACUCCUCCACUAGGGAGCUACAUUGACUUAGGUCUCCCUCUAGCUCAGAAUCACCGUUAGGAUCAUAUUCUGAGCAUGAAUCUGUAGGUGGAGAGUGUUUGCAUUGCAUUGCAUCCAGACUUGAUUUUAUUCCCUUAAUGCCAUGUUUGACAACCAUGGCAUUGUUCUGCUUUAUUCUUUUCAUGCACACAAGCUCAUAAUCAUUAUGAUGUUGUUCAGAAUCUGAGAUUCAUGAAAACAUAAAAAGUAGUCAGAUUAUCUAUGGAAUGCAUUGCAGUUUCAACUCGGAGAGUGUCUCCCUAUAAACCCCUGCAUAUGCAAAGCUCACCUCCCCAACCGUGCUGACCAGACCACACACAGAGAUACACACCCGAGCGGCGAACAUGCAUUUUUGAAACUAAUUUAGGAACAUUUAGCUCACCAAUUAAACAACUCUGUUUUAAUAAUAUCAGAUUCGUAUUUGAACAACUAAGCUUGUUUAGCUUGAUGGGUGGAGCAGUGUUAUUAUGACACGAAGCAUGUAUUCUGAUCGUAUAGUGAUCAUAAAAGGGGGAAACUCUAAGCAUAUAUUUUUUAGAAAAAGAGGGUUUCCCCUCUGAUUUCUAUUAAAGAAACCACCACGGAACCAACAUGAUCAAUUAAACCCUAAGCAUGAUCAAUUAAACCGUAUUAUGGCUGUGCCAUGGCAGAUUCAAAACUGCAAACCGGAGAAAUGAUAUUUAGCAUCCAUUGUUUGCUUCGAACUAAGAACUAAAUUUUAAGAGAUGAAAAGAAAGUAGAGUAACCAAGUUAAGAUCUAUUUUCUGGUUGAGAUCAAAAAGUUGAGGAGAUAUGAAGUACCACCUAUCUUGCGGCGUCGUGUAGGCAUCGGGGGUGCGAUGGCUGUCGGUGGCGUUGAAGAAGAUCUGCGACGGUAGACGGGUGCAUCGGGGGAUAAGUACCGUUGCGGUGGAAGAGAAGGUCGUGUGAGCGGCCCCGGCAAAGAGGAUGAUGGCGCCGAUGAAGCGAGAGGAUGCGAUGCAAGGCUAUUGGUCCAUUGCAGCGGAUGAGAAACGUCCAUCUCUAGCAGUGGACGAUGCGGUCUUGGUAGGCGCUCCGGCAUGGUGGAGGACGACGACGAUGGAUGUGGUGGAGGACGGCGGCGAUGGAUGGGGUGGCUGACGGAGGCUGGUGUGGGAAUGGGGUGUUCUAGCAUGGACGGUGUAUGAAUGGGAAAAUGGAGGGAGAGAUACGGGGAACCAUGUUUUUGGGACGCGCCUGUCUAAAAUAUGGGAAAGUUACGAACUUAUCCCCCGUUUCAAAUUUGGACGUCUCGUCGGUUGGGGAUAGGACGGUAAUCUCGCAUCUCCCAAAUAUUUGCCGGUAACUAUUUCGGGCGAGGAGAGGGUGUUUUGCCGCCCACGGUGUAUGAACGGGGCUGACAGGUAGGGCGGUUGUGUCACGUCUGAUGGAAGUUACACAUCUUCCCCUAUUUAAAACAUUAGCCUACCUCGAUUUCGGGCGAGGAGAGGGUGUUUUGCCGCCCACGGUUGGCGCCCACGGUGUAUGAACGGGGCUGACAGGUAGGGCGGUUGUGUCACGUCUGAUGGAAGUUACACAUCUGCCCCUAUUUAAAAUAUUAGCCUACAUCUAUUUCGGACGAGGAGAGGGUGUUUUGCCGCCCACCAUGUAUGAAUGGGGAAUGGAGGGAGAAACAGAGGUCUUUCGGACGAGCUUGAAUCAAAUGUGUUUUGCCGCCCAUGUUUGAUGCCCACCGUGUUGGAAUGGGCUCAGAGGCGGUCGUGUCACGUCUAAUUGAAGUUACUAACCUACCCCUAUUUAGAGCAGUGGAAAUCAGGCCGAUGGAUUGUCCCUGUAAUGGGUAGACAGUAAUUUCCAUCUCCCAAACACUUGGCUUCGGGCAGCCGAUGUGGGAGUGGAUAUUUUGUUGUUUCUUUCAAAUUUUGGGACAAUAAGCAUCCACGUUUACUCUGGCAACUAAAUUCGAAUCCAUUUUGUAUUCCUAUAUGAAUCUUUAUAAAUCAUUCUAUGUUUUUUUAUAUAUGUUCAAAAGGACAACAAAGAUUUAUUCCACUGUCAUAUAUGAAUAUGGUUUACAAUGCCGAUACUCAAAUUCAGAAACUAGAAUCCAGUUUAAGGUGAAUUCGAAUAUUUGGAACACUUCAUGUCCAACUCAAAUGUCACACGCAGCAUAAUGUGUACUCCCAUUUAGAUAUGUACACAAGCGAUGUAUCAAGAUUCAAAUACCGAGUCAAUCAACCAAGAAUGUAUGGAACUAACAGACAUAUAAACACUUAUAGAGUAUAUGGAUCAAUAAUAUCAACUAACAUACAUAAGCCAGGCCGCUGUACUUCUUUUUGGCUACAACAACAUCCUUUUUUUAGCUAGCAUCUUGGCCCUUUCCGAUGCGUGCCACUUAUGGUCCAUCUAUACUACUAUUGAUGAAUGCACAUUCAGCCCGAUUGGCAUAUUUGUAGGUCUGGCACAGCAAUCCAAAUGAAAUGUCUCUGAGUCUUAUCAAUUAAUACAGACUUGUGCUCAAAUAAAAUUACAAACAAAAAAACAAAAAAACAAUUAUUACAUGAUCUCUAAAACAAAUGGUUUGAUUGAUUACAUGAACAGACAACACAAAGGUUAUUCAACUAUGGAAAGAACAUUUCACCUAUGAUUUACCAAGUAGGAAUUUAAUUUCCUUUUUUCCUUCAGGACCUUAACAAUCUGGUCAGUCUCAGCUUGCUUCGUUUUGAAAUCCACCAAAUAUUUAAUGGUUGUCUUGAGUACUGCUUGUGAUUGUGCUGUUUGCUUCCUCAACAUGUCAACUUCAUCUCUAAGUGCAUAAGCAGAAUCUCUUUCUACCACUAGUUUAGCCUCUAGAGCAUCAGCAGUUAGCAAUUCAUAAUGCACUCCAUGGGGACCUCGCUCUUUGAUCUUGGGCUAACCUAUUUUUCCAUUGAAAUUUCGAUUGGAUUCAGAAAAGUUGACGUUAGCAAAACAUCUCAACUGGGAGUUAUAACAGCAAACCAGUUACACAAACAAGGAAUUAAAGAGUUUCAAUUGGAUGCUGAAAAUUAGUUAUUAACAUCAUUGUAACCCGCUAUUGCAGCAGCAAAGCAGUUAAACAAACAAGUAGAUAUUUAAGUUAAGGCAAAUAGGUAAUUCUUAACAGUAAGUAUCAAACACAUAGAUAGGCGCAGUCUACAAUGUGAUUAACAGGCUGUUCCAUUAUGUAAUUAGUAGCAAACUAAAUUAAGCCAAGCAACAUAAUUGAACAAUUUUGCAAUAAGUGGCUAACUAAAAUUCCGAGAAGCAGGUAACUGAACUUACGCUAGUUCUUUGUACAGGCACACUGCAACUUCUUUUUCGCUUACAAGGUUGUAUGAAGGUGUCCAUGGCAUCAAUUGCUUGGAUAUGUCCCAAUACUUUUUUCUCCCCACACUGCAUGGGUAAGUCGAAUGGUUAAUCUGGUAAGAUGGUGCGUCCUUGAUAUGUUAUAUGAGGACGUGUAGUUAGACUAGUCGUAGCCAAACACAUCACACUGGCUUUUACUGUAUAUUUCAUGCGAUUACUUUUGGCAUAUCGAGAUCUAAGCAAUCUACAAUAGGAUGAAAAGACUGACAUCCUUCACAUUAUUGGCGAACUCAAUUCAUAGAAACAAGCAAUUCAACCAUUAUGUGGGUAAAUCAAAAGCGCCACUGGAAUAUUUUUCACUAUCCAAUCAUACAUGCAAAAAGGGGCGACGCCACCAUAGGGGCUGGUAUGGGCGGCCGCCUCAGGUGACUGGAAAGUGUGCACCUAGUUUGAGUCGUCCAGGUUGGCCCAUGCUAGUUUUGUUCGUCCCAACGCACGAGCAGGCAAUGUAAAAAAAUGAAGAAAAAUGCUUCAAUUUGGAUGGGCCAAUAACAUAAGUACAAGGCAGGACCUAUAGCAGGCUCGCGGCCCAAACGAGCGCCUCCCAUAUUGAUCGACAGCAGGAAAAAUCCCAAUUCAUUCGCUCCAGCCUCCAGUCUGGUUCGUUCCUAACCUAGCCGCCGCUGGACAGACCGACACAGCACUUCCUCGCGCCCUCGUCGAAGGGCGGUCACCGGGCUUCAAGCGAACGGAUGGACAAGAAGAUGAAGAUCCAACCCUGGGUGUAGCCUGCAUGGGAGGCAGUGGCGGCAGCAUGGGCAUGGCAUCGAGCUUGCGCAAACGGACAGUCGCAGCUUGCAAGAGUAGCAUGCACAACGAGCAGGUACAUCACAUCCCUGAUUAUAUCUAAUUCGACUCUUCAAUUUCUGGCCAAUAGUUAAACCUGAUGGUGUUGUAAAACUGCUUGUAUGUAGGGAAUCUAUGAGAAAAUGAAACCAAUUUCUACCUAUUUUAUAACUCCCCCAAUCAAUACUAAACUGACUGAAUCUGAUGUAUCUAAUCAAGUUUCUGGUGCAAACAUACAAGCUCAUGUUGUUCUUGAGCCUGAAGUGUCUAAUGAACAGACUGCUAAUGAAGGAUUUGAUGCAAACAUUUUACAUGCUCUUGGUGAUGAACAUAUAGUGUCUAAUGAGGGAUCUAAUGCAAGCAUUUUGCAAGCUCAUUGAAGGAUUUAGUGUCUAAUGAUGAUCUACUAUGUUGAGAGAGACAGAGAUUUGCAGGCAUUGAUGACAAGCAAAUUAUAGUGCAUUUUCAUAGCUUGAGGAAACGUCGAGUCCAUCUACCAGAAAGUCCCCGUAUCAUGACAACAUAGCAUAAAUACUUUUCUAAUCUAUUGUUUGAACUAUUGGCAUACUUGUGCAGGAUAGAUAUAUUGAUAUGCAGUUUGCGCACUGGUUAUACGUGCAAUUACACUUCGAUAUUUUCAGCCAGAGAACAAAUAAUUCAAGCAGGUACAGACCAUGUUUGUAGUCCUUGUACACCAUGUUGCAUUUUGUGUUUUUUGGUGCUUGCAUCAUUUAGUGUUUAUAAUCUGAACUACUUUGGAUCAUUAACUGGUUUUCAAAGUGCAUGUAGCUUCACAUUUCUCAAGUUAUGUUGAUUUCCGGAGUGCAAGUGCCUUCGUAUUUUUUAAGUUAAAUGUUCUCCCCUGGUAACUUGAAUUCGUGGAUCAGCCACUGCACACAAAUCAUACACGAAUGCCAGUACGAAUUAAAUGAAAUGCAGGGAUUUAUGCUAGCUCGUUAUACUGGCUCACUGCAGCUCUGCUUGCGCUUGGGAUGUUCCAUGUACAAGUCCAUGUUACCACUUGCUUGGAUGUGCAAGCCUUGUGCUCCUUGCACCCCCCUUUGCAUUUUUGACACGGCGAAUGGUUGAUCAAAUAAGAGGAAUCGACCUUGAUGUUGUAUCGGAGGACAGAUACUUACAAGGUUAUAUGGGUGUGCAGGAUGUGUACCAGAUCCCGUAGCGCCAUCAUGCUUCGCUAAAAUAUGGAUUUUCUUGUUUCAGAUGAUAUCUCCAGAAGAAAUAAGAGUUAAGGUCAGAGUUGCAUAGGCGUGUAAGCUAAGAGAGCAGUGAUAGGAUAUCCAAACAUCGUCGGAACAGUGCACAAGGGAGUGAUGUGUGGAUACCUAGUUCAGGCCAGCGUUUGGGCAUGCUCGCCUAGCUAGAGUGCGGGUCACUUCAGAGCCGUUAAGGGUGAUGCACUGGCGUUGGCUGGCCGCGCACGGAUGCAGAUCUUGAGUGGCAGCGGAGCGCUAUGAUGCGGUGGACGAGACCGUUGGUGAAGCCCCAACGGCCUCGGGGGGCAAAGGUGCGACGAUGUGCUCGGUGAAGUAGCCCCGGUGAGCUGGGAGACGGCGUCGGUGAAGCGCACCUGAUGCGGUGGAACUCAGUGUCUGUGAGGCACGUCGGUUGCGGCGGCCGACGUUGUCGGUGGACCACCUGGUGCGGUGGACGAGGGCGUAGAUGAGGUAGCUCCGGUGCGGUGGUGAAGAGCGACCGUCGUCUUCGUCGUCAUCGUCCGGCACAGAGGUGGGGAACGAUGGGGAAAGAGAAGAGACGAGGGGCGAUUCGAGGGUUGGCGGCGAAUUAGGGAUUUGAGCAAUCUGGGCGCGGAAGGGGAUGGUGGAGAAGAGAGAUUUUGCACGGCUGGAAUUGGGGCCGCCAGAUAUUUCAAUCCGAAACAUGGAAGCGAGAACUUAUAUUGUCAUCGUCCUUUUUGGGGAGGGGAGGGGGGGUGGGUGGCUAGGUGCUACGCGUCCGUCCGUGUGACGCCUGGAUAAUCAUGCUACAGUAAUCUCAUGUUAAUGGUGCCACAUCACCUCUGUCACUGUAGUUAAUCUUGGGUUAAUUCGAAACCACUUCAAAAUUCAAAUUCAAAUUAAUGUCAAUAAUAAAAGUUUUCAAAAAUUGAAACAAAAAUGUUCGGACAAUGCCAAAUAUGGCAUAGGCAAUUAUGGUGUAGAUGACACAAAUUUAUAAAUUGCUUAAAUGCCCAAAUUAAAUAAAACAGAACAAAAAAAAGAAAAGGAAAAGAAAGGGAAAAAGAAGAAACCCCCCUUCCCCCUAGGCCGAAAGGCCCAGCUAGCCACCGCCCCUGCCACCUGGCCCACCCGGCCGAACCGGCCCGCCUCCCCCUGCCGCCUCCUUCCUUGUUCCCCCGACCCGGAUCGGAACAGGGGUGCGUCCCCGCCGCACCCUCUUGCCGGCGACGACGGGGGAUAAGAUCGCCAGCACCCCCCCGCCUCCUCGAUCCCGCCUCCCACUCGCCCCCACGCNNNNNNNNNNNNNNNNNNNNNNNNNNNNNNNNNNNNNNNNNNNNNNNNNNNNNNNNNNNNNNNNNNNNNNNNNNNNNNNNNNNNNNNNNNNNNNNNNNNNNNNNNNNNNNNNNNNNNNNNNNNNNNNNNNNNNNNNNNNNNNNNNNNNNNNNNNNNNNNNNNNNNNNNNNNNNNNNNNNNNNNNNNNNNNNNNNNNNNNNNNNNNNNNNNNNNNNNNNNCCCUCGGCCCCCGCGCCUCUCCCUCUCCCCUCCAGAUCCAUCUCCCCCUCGUUCCCCACCUCAACCGAGCGCCGCCAUGGCCUCGCCGCCGUGAAUCGCGCGGCCAUAGUCGCCGCCUCGCCGCGCCGGCAUGUCCGUCGACGCCUCCAUCGUCUUCCUCGUCCACCGGAGGCCUCAGCUGGAGCAGGGGAGCCCCGAAUCGCCGGAUCCCCUUCGUCCACAUCUCCGGCUGCCGCGUUCUUCACCAACUCCGGUGACACCCCUCUGCUGCUACUAAGCCACCAAGGGCCAUCAUGCAUGCCGCUAGGUGAGCUGCCUCCCCCCCGCUGCCCUCUAGCUCCCCUAGCUCACGCUCUAGCUAGCUCGGUGUCGCGCCCGAGAGCUCACCGCCGCCGGUCGCUUCGCCGCCGUGGCCAUGGCCUCUGUCGUGCUCCCCUGAGCACGGCAUCGUACUCCUGAUGCUCACAGGAGCCCAACGCGCACGCGCACACUCCCUCCCGUGCCUCCUAGUGGGUUUCCCGUCGGGGGCCCGACCGCGCUGCCGCCAAAGCUCGUCGCCGGGCGUGUUUUUGGCAACCAUUUGGUCCAGCGCCACCGCCAAAUGACGCGGAAUGCCUAUGCGGUUCGAACGCAAGUUGUUGCGCGCGGUUUGGUGCUUCCUAGCGCAAUCCUGAUGAUGUCCUGAACGACACCGCCGCCUCUGCUCGUCGCCGGUGCCGAUUCCGGCCAAGUCCGGCCAUACCACCACCCCCACUCGACGCGGCAUCGAGUGGCCGUUCGAUUAGACCAAGCUGCGCGCCGAACGACGCCGUGUAGCAAAAUCCCGACGAGGCCCGGGUGCCCUCGCCGCGUUCUGACAUCGCCGCUGGCUAAACGCCGGCCGUCGCCUACGUGGUUGGCCUGGGGCCAACCCAGCACCACUGCCAGUGGGCCCUGCGGGUCCUAGUUGACUGGGUUGACCCAGUCAACUGCUGACGUGGCAGCUACUGCCACUGACAUGCGGGCCCCAUGUCUUAAAACAAAUAAAAACAAUUAGAUAAACUGCUAAUUAAUUAAAUAAAUUAAUUAAAACCUAAUCUCUCACUGACUACUGGGCCCUACCUGCUAAUUAACCUAUUUAGUUAGUUUUAAAAACUCUGUUAGUACCCUGUCAAUGACAUGUGGGUCCCACUGGACCCACCUGUCUGGUUUGACUGGUCAACCGACCAGUUGACAUGCUGACAUCACUAUGAUGUCAUGCUGAUGUCAUCAUUUACUAUUCUGGAUAAUGUUGGAUUUAAAUAAUUAAUUAAAUUCCUGAAAAUGAGUUAAAUCUUUAGAAAAUCAUAUCUUUUAAUUCGUAACUUGGAUGAAAAUACUUUGUACAUGAAAGUUGCCCAGAUCAACGAGACGAAUCCGGAUACGCAGCCCGUUCGUCUGCCACACAUCCCUAACCUAUAAGAAUCGCAACUUUCCCCCUCCGGUUCAUCUGUCCGAAAACGUAAAACACCGGGAAUACUUUCCCGGUUGUUUUCCCCCUUCGUCGGUAUCACCUACUACCGCGAUUGGGCACACCUAGCAUCGAUACUUGUCAUGUCAUGCAUCGUUAUGCACUUGCUUGCUAUGUAUUUACUGUUUCUUCCCACCUCUUCUCUUCGAUAGACUACGAGACCAACGCUGCUGCUGCUGCCCCGUACGACUACGGAGUUGACGACCACUCUCUCUUGCCAGAGCAACCAGGCAAGCCCCUCCCCCUUGAUCACCAGAUAUCGCCUAUUCUCCUCUAUACUGCUUGCAUUAGAGUAGUGUAGCAUGUUACUGCUUUCCGUUAAUCCUAUUCUGAUGCAUAGCCUGACAUUGUUGCUACAGUCAAUGAUACCUUACCCGCAAUCCUAAAUGCUUAGUAUAGGAUGCUAGUUUAUCACCAUUGGCCCUACAUUCUUGUCAGUCUGCCUUGCUAUACUAUUGGGCCGUGAUCACUUGGGAGGUGAUCAUGGGUAUAUAUUAUUCAUGCAUACAUACUAUACAGAUGGUGACUAAAGUUGGGUCAGCUCGAAGAGUACCCGCGAGUGAUUCACGGAUUGGGGGCUGAAAGGACCUUUGUCCCGACGGCCCUCUGUGUGGAUCUUUGUGGCGGAGCGAUAGGGCAGGUUGAGACCACCUAGGAGACAGGUGGGCCUGGCCCUGUUCGGCGUUCGCGGAUAUUUAAAACGCUUAACGAGAUCUUGGUAUUUGAUCUGAGUUGGCUACGAGCCUAUACGCACUAACCAUCUACGUGGGAGUAGUUAUGGGUAUCCCGACGUCGUGGUAUCAGCCGAAGCACUUCAGACGUCAGCAACGGAGCGGCGGCGCCGGAUUGGACUGGAACGCCUGCUAGGCUAGGUCUGCUUCCGGCCGCCCUCGCAACGUGCAGGUGUGCUAUGGGCGAUGGGCCCAGACCCCUGUGCGCUUAGGUUUAGACCGGCGUGCUGGCCUCUCUGUUUUGGCUAGGUGGGGCUGCGACGUGUUGAUCUUCCGAGGCCGGGCAUGACCCAGGAAAGUGUGUCCGGCCAAAUGGGAUCAAGCGUGUUGGGUAAGUUGGUGCACCCCUGUAGGGAAGUUAAUCUAUUCGAAUAGCCAUGAUCUUCGGUAACAGGACGACUUGGAGUUGUACCUUGACCUUAUGACAACUAGAAUCAGAUACUUAAUAAAACACACCCUUCCAAGUCCCACAGACAACCCGGUGAUCUCUUUUCCACAGGGCGACGAGGAGAGGAUCGCCGGGUAGGAUUAUGCUAUGCGAUGCUCUUGGAGAUGCUACUUGGAGAUGCUACUUGGAGGACUUCAAUCUACUCUCUCCUACAUGCUGCAAGACGGAGGCUGCCAGAAGCGUAGUCUUCAACAGGAUUAGCUAUCCCCCUCUUAUUCUGGCAUUCUGCAGUUCAGUCCACUGAUAUGGCCUCCUUACACAUAUACCCAUGCAUAUGUAGUGUAGUUCCUUGCUUGCGAGUACUUUGGAUGAGUACUCACGGUUGCUUUCUCCCCCCUUUUUCCCCCUUUCCUUUCUUUCUGGUUGUCGCAACCAGAUGCUGGAGUCCAGGAGCCAGACGCCACCUUCGACGACAACUCCUACUACGCUGGAGGUGCCUACUACUACGUGCAGCCCGCUGAUGACGACCAGGAGUAGUUAGGAGGAUCCCAGGCAGGAGGCCUGCGCCUCUUUCGAUUUGUAUUCCAGUUUGUGCUAGCCUUCUUAAGGCAAACUUGUUUUACUUAUGUCUGUACUCAGAUAUUGUUGCUUCCGCUGACUCGUCUAUGAUCGAGCACUUGUAUUCGAGCCCUCGAGGCCCCUGGCUUGUAUUAUGAUGCUUGUAUGACUUAUUUAUGUUUUUAGAGUUGUGUUGUGAUAUCUCCCCGUGAGUCCCUGAUCUUGAUCGUACACAUUUGCGUGCAUGAUUAGUGUACGAUUGAAUCGGGGCGUCACAAGUUGGUAUCAGAGCCGACUGCCUGUAGGAAUCCCCCUUUCCAACUCCUUGGCCGAAGUUGAGUCUAGUCGUUGAAAAACUUUUUACUAACAUGGCUGUGUGGCUUACGGGCCCAUGUCGCCAUUGGGUGGUAUUAGGAUCUUUUACUCCUCGACUUUUACUCUGGGGCUCUGAACUCUCUCCUACUCGGGUUAAAUGAAUUUACUAACUCUGACAUUAGGAUCCCGUUACCACGUUCACCCCAAAGUUGGAUAAGCCAUAGUUAUUCUGUAGGAUAGCAUUUUGAAUAGUGCCCAUAUUGUCAUUUGACUCCAGUGAAACAUCUUUGUUUUCAGAUGGAACCCACGAGGCAGGUCGUGCGCCUCACUGCGGCCAUUGGUGCCUCAGGAUCACCUGCUAUGCUAGCUGAUAUGAUGACCUAUCUGGGUUAUCGCUGGCACCCUGAGUACACUGUCUACGAGGAGUACCAGGACUUUAACCAGGAGCAGUACCGUGCCAUCGUCCACCUCUACUCUCGGGAGUAUGAGUCCACUACCGUGCUGCACACCGCUCAUGGUGUUGGAGUGACCAUCGAGAUGGCAGUCCACGAUGCUGCUCAUGCUGCUCUAACAUGUCUUUGUGGAGAGUAUCAGGCAUUGGACACUUCCCCUUUCAGGCACAUUCCUAUCGCAUCUGACGUUGGUGCGGAGGGAUACUACACUGCCGCCUACUCUACCGUCACCCGAGAGCCCUUCCACCAACAGCGCCUGGUUCUGCAUGCUGAUGGGCUGGACCGAGCUAACAGAGCUCUUCGCCACGAGUUGUACACCACUCGUCAGCACCUUUACAGGGCUCUGAUGCUGUUGCACCCCUUUGUCCGAUCUGGACAGCUGCCGCGUUCUGCGAUCUACCCAGCCAGGACCGUGAUGCCCCACGGUGUCGGAUGGCCAGAGGUGGGAGGCUACUCUCCCGCACUUGGUCCUCUUCUGCCACCUGAGCGUCGGGUUCUACACCAGAGUAUCCGCGGCCCCCAGGCCACUGACGUGGAGGACUAUCCGUUGCCUCACUACCAGCUGUCAGGUUACAGCUACCUUCACAGUACCUCCUGGGACUGAUGUAGUCUUGCUCAUUAGUAUUAGAUGCAUUCGCGAGCCUGCGUGCCGCCUAUAAUGACUUAGUCUAUGUACUGAACUCUGUGUACUGAACUCUAUGUCCGACCCCUUUUGUAAGUUAUGCCGACUAUCUAUGUGGUAUCUGUCGUGCUCCUUUCAUUAUGCAUGUUUCAUCAUGAAUGACUCUUGUCUAUGCAAAUUUCUCAAUACUGAACUACCCCUGUUAUAUAUUAACAGGAUGGUUAGACCAGCUGGUCGUGGUCGUGGCGGCAACGCCCCACCACCGCCUGAGUACAUGGCUGGUAUGGUCCAACAGCUCGAGAUGAAUCGCCAGUUCAUGGAGAAUGUGAUGGCUCAGUUCCCUCGUCCCAAUAUGAAUGAGCAGCCAGCCCACGUAACUCUGCAAGAUUUCAUGCGCCUCAACCCAACCGUGUACCGCAGCUCAACUCAGCCGAUGGAUGCUGAUGACUGGCUACGAGACAUCACCUAUGAGAUGGAGUCUGCUGAAGUAGCCCCUGCCCGCUAUGUCACCUUUGCUUCCUUCUUUCUGAAGGGACCCGCAGCUCAAUGGUGGGACAUCCACAUGCGUACUCUGCCAGUUGGGACAAUCAUCACCUGGCCAAACUUUCAAGCUGCCUUCCGUGCCCGCUUCGUUCCUCAGGGGAUCAUGGACAGGAAGAAGCGUGAGUUCCGCAACCUCACCUAGGGUAACAAAACUGUGGAAGCUUAUCAGCGGGAGUUUCUGGACUUAUCCCGCUAUGCUGAAGAAGACAUUGCAACUGAUGCUCGUAGACAGGAGAAGUUUCGUGAAGGCCUUCAAGCUGACAUCAAGCUCGCACUUCUAGUGCAUGACUUUGCCGAUUUCGCCACCUUGGUGAACAAGGCCAUCAAUGUCGAGACUGGUCUGCAGGAACACCAGAGCUCUCAGAGGCGCAACCGUGACACGAGCUCAUCUUCGGGCCCGCCCUCGCAGAAGCGUAAGAUAUGGAUCCCAAACAGCAUGUACCGUCCAAAUGCACCUGCCCCAAGGCAGUCUUAUGCUGCACCUUGUCUGCCGGCUGCUCCAACUAGGCAGCCAAGGCUUCCAGCUCCACCACCCCGAGCUCUUGCUCCCACUCCCAAUAAUGGUCUGUGCUUCAGGUGUGGUCAGCCAGGACACCGUGCUAGGGAAUGCAACCAGAACCAGAAUCAACUGGCCCUUCCAGCAGCUGGUCGUGGUAACAACCAGCCCCACAACAACAAUGCCAAGUCUUAUGGUCGUGUUCAUGCCAACCAUGUUGAUCUGAACGAAGCUCAAGACCAGCCUGCUACUGUGAUGGGUACACUCCUCGUAAAUUCAGUACUAGCAUCUGUUUUAUUUGAUACAGGAGCAUCGCAUUCAUUCAUGUCAGAAGAUUUUGCAUUCAUGCAUGGCAUUAAAAGUGAAGACAUGAACGCUUCUCUAUUAGUGCACACCCCUGCGGGCCAAUGUCGGACCUCCAUGAUUUGCAACAACGUCCCCGUUGAAAUUGAAGGACUAGAAUUCCUUGUCUCCCCCAUCGUAUUGAAGUCCUGUAGCAUUGAUCUCAUUCUGGGAAUGAAUUGGUUAAAGGCGCAUACUGCUUCUAUCAUUUGCGCCACCAAGACCGUCCAUCUGCUACACCCUUCUGAUGAAAUAAUAAGCUACAAUGCUCGUCUGGUUCAGAAUGCCGAGGCAAGGCUCUAUGCAUUGAAUGCAUUGAACGCUGCACCACUCGAGGGCAUUGAAAACAUUCCCGUCGUGCAUGAAUUCCUAGACGUCUUUCCUGAAGAACUCCCAGGGAUUCCCCCUGCUAGAGCUGUCGAAUUCAUCAUCGACUUGAAACCUGGCACCACUCCUAUAGCCAAGCGACCCUACAAGAUGCCGCCGCAUGAACUCCUGGAGCUUAAGGAGGAAAUCGACAAGUCUCUUCGCAGUGGUUUCAUUCGCCCAAGUUGCUCUCCUUGGGGAGCACCUUCUAUCUUUGUCAAGAAGAAAGAUGGGACAAACCGAUUAGUCCAAGACUACCGUCCUAUAAACCAAGCUACCAUUCAGAAUAAGUAUCCUCUUCCUCGGAUCAAUGAUCUGUAUGAUCAACUGGCUGGUUCGUCAGUGUUCUCCAAACUCGACUUGAGGUUGGGUUACCACCAGAUCCGUGUUCGUGAAGAGGAUAUCCCAAAGACUGCCUUUGUGACUCGAUAUGGUUCAUACGAGUACACCGUCAUGUCUUUUGGCUUAACCAAUGCUCCAGCCACCUUCUCUCGCCUGAUGAACUAUAUAUUCAUGGAUUACCUCGACAAGUUUGUCGUGGUUUAUCUGGAUGAUAUUCUGGUAUUUUACAAGAACAAAGAGGAACAUGCUGAACAUCUCCGUCUUGUGCUAGAAAAGCUACGAGAGCAUCAACUUUAUGACAAGUUCUCCAAAUGUGAAUUCUGGCUCCCCGAAGUAACCUAUCUUGGGCAUGUCAUCUCUAAGGAUGGUAUUGCCGUCAACCCUGAACGAGUCCAGGCUAUUCUUGAUUGGACUCCUCCGAAGAACGUUAAGCAAGUCAGAAGUUUUCUCGAUCUCGCCAGCUAUUGCCGUCGAUUCGUCGAGAACUUCUCCAAGAUCGCCAGACCUCUGACUAACCUGCUUCAUAAGGGCAUCAAGUUUCUGGACAGCUAAGUGUCAGGAAAGCUUCCAGGCACUCAAAGACAAGUUGACUUCUGCCCCAGUACUAGCUCCACCUGAUACUAAGAAGGACUUCGUCAUUUACUGCGACGCUUCCCGUCAAGGAUUAGGCUGUGUCCUAAUGCAGGAGCGCAAAGUGAUUGCCUAUGCCUCUCGACAAUUGUGCCCUCACGAAGAGAACUACCCAGUUCACGACCUCGAGCUUGCUGCUGUUAUCCAUUCACUGAAACAGUGGCGACAUUACCUUCUCGGUAAUCGUUGCGAGAUCUUCACCGACCACCAAAGUCUGAAGUAUCUGUUUACUCAGCCAGACCUGAACCUCCAUCAGCAGAGAUGGAUGGAGAUUGUUGUAGACUUUGACUUGGGUAUUUCCUAUACACCAGGCAAGGCUAAUGUAAUGGCUGAUGCCUUGAGCCGCAAGUCUUACUGCAACCACCUCCAGAUUCACAAAGUUCAGCCCUCACUUGUUGAAGAAUUCAGAAAGCUGAACCUCCAUAUUGUUCCUCCGGGUGCACUCGUUCCCCCUCCUGAGGAGUCUCGCAAGAUGAAUCUCCGUGUUGUUUCCAAGGGUUCCCUCUAUACCCUGGCUGUCGAACCCGAUCUGAUAAGCUCCAUCAAGACAUUACAGGGAUAUGACUCUGAAGCCCACAAGAUUAAGCGUGACCUCAAAGAAGGAAAGCCAUCAUUCUUCACUAUUGCUGAUGAUGGCGCCUUGUACUUCAAAGGCCGCCUAGUGGUGCCAUGUAAGAAGGAAAACCUAAUAUGACUCAGGAGGUUAUGAAAGAAGCUCAUGAUACGCCUCUAUGUAUCCAUCCUGGUAGUACAAAGAUGUACCAAGACAUCCGCCAGAGAUUCUGGUGGUCUAACAAGAAGCAAGACAUUGCUCGUUAUGUUGCUGAAUGUGACAUUUGCCGUCGUAUCAAAGCAGAACAUCAAAGGCCUGCUGGAACUCUGCAACCUAUCUCUAUUCCUGAAUGGAAAUGGGACCAUGUCGAGAUGGACUUCGUCACUGGAUUUCCCAAAUCGCAGAAAGGUAAUGAUGCUAUUCUUGUCGUCAUUGUCCGACUUUCUAAAGUUGCACAUUUUCUGGCAGUCAAAGAAACGAUCACUGCUAGUCAGCUUGCAACUCUCUAUAUGUCCAGAAUUGUUUCACUUCACGGUAUUCCACUGGUUAUCAGUUUGGACCGUGGCAGCUUAUUCACUUCAAGAUUCUGGGCAAGUUUCCAAGAAGCUAUGGGAACUCAUCUGUCAUUCAGUACUGCGUUUCAUCCGCAGUCGCAAGGGCAAGUUGAACGUGUCAACCAAAUUCUCGAAGACAUGCUUCGAGCUUGUGUUAUUUCCUUCGGCAAGAAAUGGGAGGAAUCUCUCCCGUAUGCUGAGUUCUCUUAUAAUAAUAGCUAUCAAGCUAGUCUGAAGAUGGCCCCCUUUGAAGUGUUAUAUGGACGAAAGUGCCGAACCCCUCUGAACUGGUCAGAAACUGGGGAACAUCCACUCUUCGGUCCGGAUAUUAUCCAACAUGCUGAAGAAGAAGUCCGCAUUAUUUGCGAGCAUCUCAAGACUGCUCAGUCACGUCAGAAGAGUCAGUAUGACCGUCAUCAUAAAGACAUGGUCUAUCAACCUGGCGAAAAGGCCUAUCUUUGAGUUACACCAAUGAAGGGUGCUCACUGCUUCGGGAUCAAGGGCAAGCUAGCUCCUCGCUAUAUUGGCCCAUUCACUAUUCUGGAAAGGCGUGGAAAAGUGGCAUAUCAACUGGAGCUUCCGUCAAACCUUUCUCAGGUUCACGAUGUAUUCCACGUGUCACAGCUCCGUCGCUGCUUCAAGGACCCAAUCCGAGCAGUGGAUCAUGAAGUGCUCGAAUUGCAACAGGACCUCUCCUAUAAAGAGCAACCGGUCCGCAUUCUCGACCAAGCUAAACGCCGCACACGCCAGAAGGCGAUCAAGUUCCUCAAAGUUCAGUGGUCGCACCAUUCUGAAGAUGAAGCCACUUGGGAACGAGAGGAUCGCCUGCGUGAUGAAUACCCCGCACUGUUUCCUUCUACCUCCUAAAUCUCGGGACGAGAUUUCUUGUAGUGGAGGAGAAUUGUGACGCCCGGAUAAUCAUGCUACAGUAAUCUCACGUUAAUGGUGCCACAUCACCUCUGUCACUGUAGUUAAUCUUGGGUUAAUUCGAAACCGCUUCAAAAUUCAAAUUCAAAUUAAUGUCAAUAAUAAAAGUUUUCAAAAAUUGAAACAAAAAUGUUCGGACAAUGCCAAAUAUGGCAUAGGCAAUUAUGGUGUAGAUGACACAAAUUUAUAAAUUGCUUAAAUGCCCAAAUUAAAUAAAACAGAACAAAAAAAAGAAAAGGAAAAGAAAGGGAAAAAGAAGAAACCACCCUUCCCCCUGGGCCGAAAGGCCCAGCUAGCCACCGCCCCUGCCACCUGGCCCACCCGGCCAAAACCGGCCCGCCUCCCCCUGCCGCCUCCUUCCCUGUUCCCCUGACCCGGGUCGGAACAGGGGUGCGUCCCCGCCGCACCCUCUCGCCGGCGACGACGGGGGAUAAGAUCGCCAGCACCCCCCCGCCUCCUCGAUCCCGCCUCCCACUCGCCCCCACGCUCGCCCUCGGCCCCCGCGCCUCUCCCUCUCCCCUCCAGAUCCAUCUCCCCCUCAUUCCCCACCGCAACCGAGCGCCGCCAUGGCCUCGCCGCCGUGAAUCGCGCGGCCACAGUCGCCGCCUCGCCGCGCCGGCGUGUCCGUCGACGCCUCCAUCGUCUUCCUCGUCCACCGCAGGCCUCAGCUGGAGCGGGGGAGCCCCGAAUCGCCGGAUCCCCUUUGUCCACAUCUCCGGCUGCCGCGUUCUUCACCAACUCCGCCGACACCCCUCUGCUGCUACUAAGCCACCAAGGGCCACCGCGCGUGCUGCUAGGUGAGCUGCCUCCCCCCCCGCUGCCCUCUAGCUCCCCUAGCUCACGCUCUAGCUAGCUCGGUGUCGCGCCCGAGAGCUCACCGCCGCCGGUCGCUUCGCCGCCGUGGCCAUGGCCUCUGUCGUGCUCGCCUGAGCACGGCAUCGUACUCCUGAUGCUCACAGGAGCCCAACGCGCACGCGCACACUCCCUCCCGUGCCUCCUAGUGGGUUUCCCAUCGGGGGCCCGACCGCGCUGCCGCCAAAGCUCGUCGCCGGCCGUGUUUCCGGCAACCAUUUGGUCCAGCGCCACCGCCAAACGACGCGGAAUGCCUAUGCGGUUCGAACGCAAGUUGUUGCGCGCGGUUUGGUGCUUCCUAGCGCGAUCCCGAUGAUGUCCCGAACGACGCCGCCGCCUCUGCUCGUCGCCGGUGCCGAUUCCGGCGAAGUCCGGCCAUACCACCACCCUCACUUGAUGCGGCAUCGAGUGGCCGUUCGAUUAGACCAAGCUGCGCGCCGAACGACGCCGUGUAGCGAAAUCCCGACGAGGCCCGGGUGCCCCCGCCGCGUUCUGACGUCGCCGGCGGCUAAACGCCGGCCGUCGCCUACGUGGUUGGCCUGGGGCCAACCCAGCGCCACUGCCAGUGGGCCCUGCGGGUCCUAGUUGACUGGGUUGACCCAGUCAACUGCUGACGUGGCAGCUACUGCCACUGACAUGCGGGCCCCAUGUCUUAAAACAAAUAAAAACAAUUAGAUAAACUGCUAAUUAAUUAAAUAAAUAAAUUAAAACCUAAUCUCUCACUGACUACUGGGCCCCCUGCUAAUUAACCUAUUUAGUUAGUUUUAAAAACUCUGUUAGUACCCUGUCAAUGACAUGUGGGUCCCACUGGACCCACCUGUCUGGUUUGACUGGUCAACCGACCAGUUGACAUGCUGACAUCACUAUGAUGUCAUGCUGAUGUCAUCAUUUACUAUUCUGGAUAAUGUUGGAUUUAAAUAAUUAAUUAAAUUCCUGAAAAUGAGUUAAAUCUUUAGAAAAUCAUAUCUUUUAAUCCGUAACUUGGAUGAAAAUACUUUGUACAUGAAAGUUGCCCAGAUCAACGAGACGAAUCCGGAUACGCAGCCCGUUCGUCUGCCACACAUCCCUAACCUAUCGGAAUUGCAACUUUCCCCCUCCGGUUCAUCUGUCCGAAAACGUAAAACACCGGGAAUACUUUCCCGGUUGUUUUCCCCCUUCGUCGGUAUCACCUACUACCGCGAUUGGGCACACCUAGCAUCGAUACUUGUCAUGUCAUGCAUCAUUAUGGCGAGUACCCGCGAGUGAUUCACGGAUUGGGGGCUGAAAGGACCUUUGUCCCGACGGCCCUCUGUGUGGAUCUUUGUGGCGGAGCGACAGGGCAGGUUGAGACCACCUAGGAGACAGGUGGGCCUGGCCCUGUUCGGCGUUCGCAGAUAUUUAAAACGCUUAACGAGAUCUUGGUAUUUGAUCUGAGUUGGCUACGAGCCUAUACGCACUAACCAUCUACGUGGGAGUAGUUAUGGGUAUCCCGACGUCGUGGUAUCAGCCGAAGCACUUCAGACGUCAGCGACGGAGCGGCGGCGCCGGAUUGGACUGGAACGCCUGCUAGGCUAGGUCUGCUUCUGGCCGCCCUCGCAACGUGCAGGUGUGCUAUGGGCGAUGGGCCCAGACCCCUGUGCGCAUAGGUUUAGACCAGCGUGCUGGCCUCUCUGUUUUGGCUAGGCGGGGCUGCGACGUGUUGAUCUUCCGAGGCCGGGCAUGACCCAGGAAAGUGUGUCCGGCCAAAUGGGAUCAAGCGUGUUGGGUAAGUUGGUGCACCCCUGCAGGGAAGUUAAUCUAUUCGAAUAGCCGUGAUCUUCGGUAACAGGACGACUUGGAGUUGUACCUUGACCUUAUGACAACUAGAAUCAGAUACUUAAUAAAACACACCCUUCCAAGUCCCACAGACAACCUGGUGAUCGCUUUUCCACUGGGCGACGAGGAGAGGAUCGCCGGGUAGGAUUAUGCUAUGCGAUGCUCUUGGAGAUGCUACUUGGAGAUGCUACUUGGAGGACUUCAAUCUACUCUCUCCUACAUGCUGCAAGACAGAGGCUACCAGAAGCGUAGUCUUCGACAGGAUUAGCUAUCCCCCUCUUAUUCUGGCAUUCUGCAGUUCAGUCCACUGAUAUGGCCUCCUUACACAUAUACCCAUGCAUAUGUAGUGUAGUUCCUUGCUUGCGAGUACUUUGGAUGAGUACUCACGGUUGCUUUCUCCCCCCUUUUUCCCCCUUUCCUUUCUUUCUGGUUGUCGCAACCAGAUGCUGGAGUCCAGGAGCCAGACGCCACCUUCGACGAUGACUCCUACUACGCUGGAGGUGCCUACUACUACGUGCAGCCCGCUGAUGACGACCAUGAGUAGUUAGGAGGAUCCCAGGCAGGAGGCCUGCGCCUCUUUCGAUUUGUAUUCCAGUUUGUGCUAGCCUUCUUAAGGCAAACUUGUUUUACUUAUGUCUGUACUCAGAUAUUGUUGCUUCCGCUGACUCAUCUAUGAUCGAGCACUUGUAUUCGAGCCCUCGAGACCCCUGGCUUGUAUUAUGAUGCUUGUAUGACUUAUUUAUGUUUUUAGAGUUGUGUUGUGAUAUCUCCCCGUGAGUCCCUGAUCUUGAUCGUACACAUUUGCGUGCAUGAUUAGUGUACGAUUGAAUCGGGGCGUCACAGUCCGACACACGUGACCACCCCGGCAGGACUAUGCUUUAGUGCCUUAAGGCACCUGCCUUUGUGUCCAUGACAUAUGGGCCCAACAUGUGGCUGGCCCAGAUGCCAGUGAGCCAAAUGCAGUUGCCUUUAAGGCACCGAAGCAACGUCCACCCCGACACGACCCUGGUUUGCCUGGUGCGCCUACAUUUGAGAAUGCAAACGAAUCUUCUUUCAUUUGCAAAUGAAUUUGUAUGUAUUACCAUGCCCGUGUUUUCCUUGCAAUAAUUAGUCAUUCGAAACGGGAUACUCCAUCCGUUCACUUUUGUAAGUCGUUUCAGACAACUUAAAAUGAACUAUUUUGCACAUUGUCUGAAAUGUCUUCAAGGUCUUAUAAAAGUGAAUAGAGGGAGUACUAUAAAUUAAUUAAUGAGGAGUUAUUUGAAAAAAAAUCAAAAUGGUACCCAUGCUAACGUGGAUUAGAGUGUGUGUCACAUAAUUAGUUAUUUGAAUUAGAGUGUGUGUCACAUAGUUAGUUAUUUGAAUUAGAGUGUGUGUCACGUAGCGAUCUCCAAUUCUAACGUGGAUUUCGCAUUUCACUGUAUCCACGCUACUUUUUUAAUACAAAUUCAUAUGUAUAUGAUGAACACCAUGGUAGUGAGAAAACUUUUGGAUGGAUUCAAACAUAUGACCUACAAAAUAGCAUAACAAACUGAGUCAAUGUCAACUUUUCGAAACUUAGUAUGGCAUGAAUUCGAAAUAAUUACCCGUAUGCCUGGUCCUCGGUUCAAAUCUUACAAUGUACACCAAAUUGAAACAACGAUAUUAAGUCUCGUACUAUGUACAUUCGAAUGUUGUUUUUAGCCCCCCCCCCCUGCACAAAUGCUACAUACUUCCUGUAUCGGUCAAUCUUCCUCUCCUAACCACCUUAGGAAGCUAUCGGUUUCCAACACACGUUCAUUCUUUCUCUCCAUGUUUUGAUCUCUAAGUCUCUCAAGUACACAACCCCUUUUCCACUCUGUUAACAAAUGUAUUUACCUCACACACCCGCCAUUGCACCCCAUGCCGAGCUCUCUCUCUCCCCUCUCCCUCUCACCCUCUCGCGCUAAAUACAUGCAUUGCCUAUCUAGCCCCCCAACCUCUCGUGCAUGCACACACACGCAUGUUGUGUAUCUAGGUCACUCCCUCGAGACGUCUCACUCUUUCUUCCGUACGGCGGGCCACACUCGCUCAAUCUCGCUCUCUUUGUCUGAGUCUCGUUUAACCUCGUUUUCUUUCACACACAAAUGAUAUAUCUCCCUGUUCGGGCCUUGAUCGACAUACUCUAUACUCUCUCACAUAGAUUGUCUAUCUAGGUCAGUCCAUCCAAGCCGCCACCACUCUUUCGACCUCAUGGUGGGCCACGCUCACUCAAUCUCUCUCUCUCUCUCUCUCUCUCUCCGUAUGUCUCGAUUGACCUUGCUCUUUCUCGGAAAAAAAUGAUAUAUCACCAUGUUUGAGCCCAAUUCGACCUAUUCACAUUGUAUACUCUCUCACGCACAUCGUCUAUCUAGGUCACUCUCUCCAACCUGUCUCACUCUUUCGAUCGUACAGCGACCCUAUGUGAUCGGUUGACCUUGCUUCCUCCCAAGCAAAAAAUAUAUCUACACGUCUAUGACUAGAUCAUCUCUCAAGCUCUAUCUUAUAGCCCUCACCCUUGCCAAAAAGCUCCAUCGGACAAUAUCUCUCCAGAGCAUAUAUAUUUGUUCAAUGAAUGUCGGACCACACUCACUUUGUCUCUCUAUCUAUAUGUCUCUCGAUUGACCUCGCUUUCUCACACCGUAUCUUCCACGCGUUGAAGCUACUACCUCUCCAUCCCUCGCAAAGCCGGAGCUAUUUACAUUGCGAGGGGCACUCCAACCUUGGAUUAAUUUGUGUAGGCAUUUAUUCCGGUCGGUUUAGAUUAUAUUUUCGUAGCAUUCAGCCCACAACUACUCCAAUCACCGCAACGGGUAAUUAAGCUACGGGGAGCACCUAAUAUGAGCACCGGGGAGCCGUUGGAUCGAAGAUGCAGCGGCACACACGAGGCCUGAAUGUUUUAUUUGCAAAAAAACCUUUGGAGAGUUUGGAAAUUGUGCAUAUUUACAAAGACUACUCCCAAGCCAUUGGAUCUCACUUCCAACGGUGUAAAAACUCGUAUCACCAUAGUAUCUAAGCUGCGGGGUGGAUGUGAUAUUCUAUGCCGCUGUCAUUUUUGUUCGUAAACUUGCAAAAAACGUGUAACUCGUGCCGUUACUUGUCUAACCGCGCAAAGUGUUUGUUCAAAAAAACCAUCCUACUCUAAAAUAUCAGAACAACACACGGGGGUCCCACUUGUCAUUAAUCAAAGACCUAAAACUAACAAAUCUGAAAGACGAGAUUCAAACUGGCAACCUGGACUACAAAGCGUAAGUCGAUAGCCUGAAGAAACGAAUGGUUGUUGGCUUUGUCCCAUAACUUGAUUUUAUACAGUACUUGCGCUGAGUAGAGUAGAGGGAGUGCCUCGUCAACAAGUGCAUGACCGUUAUCUCACUUACUGGUGGGUCCCAGGUCUGCGAUCUCAAUCUCUCUUCUCUCCAUCAUCUAACCUUUGCACGGGAACACACGAAGAGCGGCGCUAGCUUGCCCUGGUGUUAUUACAACUAAAAAACUUGGAAAAUAGAAGAAUCGCCUAGAACAAGAGAUGUUGUGGCUGGUCGCGACGGAGCUAACCACAUCUAUCCUCCAUGCCACGUUUGCAUGAUGAAGCUAUGUGGCUAGUGGGGUGUUUUCAACCGACUGGCUGGGUCCCGAGGUCGAACCAUAGGUACUACGUCUGAUACAGUAUAUUUUUACACGCACAUUUUUCCUCCGUGCCGAGACGUGGCACACCCUACCGCGCGGUUUCGGGGUCCUCCCGGGUGGUGCACGCAUAUAUUCUUCCUGACGUGGGAUGCCCUACCGCUUGUUUUCUGGGUCCUCCUCGGUCGUAGCGCCGAAGCAAGUAAAUGAGUCGUCAAAUCACGAAAGACCACCUUUCCCGCCGAGUACAUCAGUGAAGCAUGGUGGCUAGCUAGUUGGGCUAGUUCGACCGAUUAGCUAGGCUACCGCCACAUUUGUUUUUUCACCCCUUUUUUUAUCUACUUGCCGGCAAGUAAAUUUAAAUAUCCACCACGGCGUUGCUCUGGUGUUUGGGUGCGGCAGGAUUUUUUAUUUUUUGAUUGACGGGAGAAGGCGCGGCACCAAUUAGUCACGAUGACUCCGCCUGUACCCACUGCUCCCUGAUGUGAGAAGUUGUCGACUGGUGUUUUACCAUGGUGAAAACCAAAAGAUUCCCCGCUCCCUCCGCCUUCCCGUAGAUUGCAUUGCCUUUCAGCCGUUUCGCCCCCUUUGCUUCCUCUCCCCAUUGCUUCUACCUGGUGCCAUGCCGGCGCAACAGAUCAUGGAGUCCGAGGUGAGGCUCCUAACACAGGAGCUCCAUGCCAAGGAUGCGGAGCUCAGGGCCAAGGACGUGGAGCUCCGUGAGCUCAAGGAGGAGAGGAGUGCCAUGCUCCUCCGUUAUGUGCAGGAGUUCACGGAGCUUCAAAAGCGGCAGGCGUCCACCACAAAGAUGCUCGAGGCGUCGGCGGCGUUGCUGCAGAAAGCGGGAGAUACGAUAGGCCGUCAGGGGAGCCGGCUGGAGCGCGAGCGGGCCGAUCGUGACGAGGUCCAGGAUCGCCUCAGCCACUUGGUGAACCAAGUUGCCACGCACGUGUUGCAGCUACACGAUGCCUACCGUCGUGCUAGCGCGACGAUGCCGGCCGUCGAGCUAAACCCGUUCGACCACCCGGUCGACUUCAACGAGCUGCGGCUUCCUAACCUGGUCUCCUUCUUCACCUAUAUCUCCGAGGAGCUGAGCCGUCUUCACGCAAUGGUGGGGGCUGAGCUGGACAAGGAGGGGUUGUGGGCUGCCGUCGCUGUUGCCGAGCGAAUCCUUUCAGGGCUCCGUCACCGGAAUCCAUUCGUGCCAUUGGACGUCGUCUUUGACAAGCUGGCUCCCGUCGACCGGGAGCGGGCUCUGUGGGCGGUUGCACCCUGCAUCACCAACGUCGUGCGCCUCGAGAAGCAGAGGGACUUCGGUGGUGUUUAGGCGCCCUCUGCAUGGGCAUGUCCAUGUCUCGGCGCAACAUGACCGUUGGAUCAAACUCAGAUGAUGCAGAUCAGUCAAUGUAGCACAAAGCGUGUGGUGUGUUUGGUUGCAUUCUCAUCUCAAUAUAGUUGUUUCCUCUUCGUGUAUUUUUGUCAACCUACUAGUGUGGACUCAUGCACCCUCCAUGCACUCUGCCAGACACCCAAAAGUGGGUCGAGAAGGGAACUUUUGCUCCCAUCCCGUGCACCCUUCAUACACCCUGCCUAACACUAUUCGUGCUUCAUAUGGUUCAUGUUUCAUGGAGUACUGUAGCACCGUACUCUCCGUGCGCUGUGGACCUAGUUCUGUUAACAUUGAUCUCACCUUCAUUCUCGACCGGACAGUCGAAAAAGUGGUACUAUGUUACAUAUAGGAGUAGUUGACAUGCGCACAACAUCAUUUGUUAUCGUCAUAUCUUACUACACUAGCAACAAGAUUGUGUAGUACUGGCGUCUGAACCACUGCACAUGCCUAGUAGUAGGAGCACUGUGUAUGUUCAAGUGGCUGCUGUGUUUCGCACUCCUCCAUCGUAAGAGUGGAAACGCUUGCUGUAAUCAUUUUUUUCUUCUAAAAAAUAGUGGACACGCUCUACCAUGCGGAUCCUCCUCCAGCCAUGCACUAAAUUACUCACUUUCACCGACGUGUGGGACAGCCAGCAUCGGGGUCCACCAGCCAUGCACUAAAUUACUCCGUGGUAGAGUGAUGGUAGACUACCCUGAUCGAAGCGCCGCAGUAAUGCCCAAUGAGCCGUCAAAUCACAAAACCCCCUCCUUUCCAGCAGUAAGUUGGACGGACGAAGCAACCAUCAUUUCACUCUUCUCUCUCAGCUUCCUCUCUACCCAACCCUCGCUUCUGCCUCAUCUUGUUCCUCAUUUAUUCAAGAAAACCCUGACCUGCUUCUGCCAUUGUUCUUCUCUCCCAAAGAAGAAAAGGUGAGCGCAUCAAUGGUGUUGAUUCUGGCCAAGACCCGGUCUUGCAACCCCGAGACUGAUCCUAUAACUCCCUCUCUUUUCUUCUUUUGGGUUUGUGAUUAUGGUUUCUUUUCUUUUAUUUCGAUUUGACAGUUUCUUGAUGGACGCUAGAGCACCGGCCGAAGUGAUGUCUAUGGCUCCGGCCAAAACCGUCGAGGCUCAUGGUACGAAGAAGCGCAAGCACCCCGUCGAGACUACCGCAGACAAGCUCAAAGCCAUCGCCCUGUCCAAGCCCCCCUCUCCGGGAUCCCUCAUUAAGCAAGUCCAGGUAAUAUCUCUUCUUGACGAUCUUUUUCUUGAUCUUGAUCGUGUUUUUUCAUCUAAUACGCAGUACUAGUACAAGUAGUACAACUUUCUGGGUGAUCUCGCAUCUGAUUUUUGUGUGCCAAAUGACGGUUAUAAAUUCCUCUUUUGACCAAAACACACGAGAGGUUGACACUGAUUUCUUAUAGAUUACUUUCAACUUCUCCCUCUGUCCCAAAUUUCUUGUCUUAGAUUUGUCUAGAUACGGAUGUAUCUAAUACUAAAAUGUGACUUGAUACAUCCGUAUCUAGACAAAUCUAAGACAAGAAUUUUGGGACGGAGGGAGUACUUUAUGAACAUCAAUGCUACCUUUUAAGAGGGUAUAUUUGCCUUAGUAACUUGUGUUAUGGAUAUUGAAUGUAAUCCCUCUGCUCUCAUGCCUUUGAAGACAUGUUCUAGUGUCUUUGUUCACUCAUUUCUGUGCGUAUAUGUAGUCAUAUAUGGAGUAUAAUAUCGAAAAUCAUCUUAUAUUUCUGAACAGAGGUAGUAGUAAAAUAUGGUUUCUGUUUGAAAUUAGAACCAGGUCCGCGGUGGAGAUGAAGUUCUAAAAGUCAUGUCGUGUGAACUGGAAGACCUGAUGAUGAGUUCUACUGCUGAACUAUCCAGCUGAUGUGUCCUUGUCGCCACGUGUCCUGAACUAGUGUUUUCCUGUAGCAUUGUUGUCAGGCGUGUUCUCGAAGCUGUACUUGAUCACAACAAUUUCCUGGUUGUGCCUUCGAUUACGAAGGGUGUGGUUCUUGUAAAGCUUCCCAACAAAUCUGAUGCAGCCUGUCUUCAUCAUCAUGUUUAUGAGUGGAAAGACCACUCUGUUAGGUUCUCCAAGGUUGACAAGAUGGUGAUGGUGCAUGUAGACAUCUCACACGAAGUCCAUGGCCUAGUCAGUUAUGCGGGGUUUAGUAAGUGUAACUUUGCUUGUCUGUAGUAGGUACUAUUGUUCAGUAUUUGAUUUGUGUUUGUGAACCCUGUAUUGUUUAUUAGUACUGCCGCUUUUGGUGUGUGGUCAGUCCUGAGAACGGUCUAUGUUAAUGUCUAUCCACUCAAUUCAGUCUGUAUAUUUUGAAGUAUCCAUAUCAUAUUUUUUGUGAGGACAGUCUAUCAAUUAUGGUUACACUCCAAUAUCUGUAUGCAUUGCAGGGUUUAUCGCACCCACCAGGAUUUCCAGCCCCAUGGAUGUUCGGUCCAUAUGAUUUGUCAUGACCUUUGGACUGUCCUGCUUGUGGGAGUAGGCGGGGCCCCUGCAUGCCACGCGUAGUUGGAUGAUGAAUCUUCUGUUUAGUACUUCAACAUAGUGAUUUCCUGGUAAGGAUUCACUCGUGUCACAUCAAGUAAAUCUUAUUGAUUUACUGUCUAAAUCUUAUUGAUUUAAUGUCAUGUUUUCUUUCUUUUCCCGCAAUUUUACUAUGCAGGUUUUGCCAUGUGACAUUCAUCACAGAAUAAACCGUUUGGUUUGCUCUACGAUGACUAUUUUUGCAGGUUUCACUUCUUAUGUCGUGUCAGUAAUGAAGGCACCGUCCAUCACUUAUAUUACUAGAAAAAAUUGGAUCAGUCUGUUGUCUGAGUACAAGCUGAAUCCCUAUGAUGAACUGCAGUUUGGUUUAACAAAAAUGCCACAAUUAGUCCUUCUCGCAUUUAAAAGAAAUGAAGAAAAAGACUGGAUCACGGUCACAGAUCCUAGUCAAGUUAGAAAGCUGAUCAUAGCAUACCAGACACGAUCGCCGCUGUCUCGCACAGAUCAAGCACCGGCAGUUGCUCUAGCACUGACAGCGGCAGCAACUCAGUCUGAUCCAGCUGAGGAUUGGGCACCGACCGCAUCAGCGGAUCAAUCUAAUCUACCGGAGGAUCGGGCAUCAACACUGGCACCUACUCCGACACCGGCACCAGUUCUACAAGGAGGACCAUCUCCGGCAGCAGCAGCGGCUUCGGCACCUGGACCAACACUUGCACUUGCAUCUGCUCUGGCCCGUGCAGUUGCACCGGCAACAGACUGGGCUACAGUUCGCACUUCAUAUACCAAAGUCCUUACAAAAACCGACAUGUCCACCUUCUUGGUAAGCAUUGGCUGCCCAAGUGCUUUGUUCUUUUUUCUUUCCAUGUUGUUUCACAUGAUUCACUGUGUUGAUCUAACUGUUUGGGUAUGUCUUCUUGUUUGCAAACAAAGAAUUUCUAGAGCAAUGAGGGAGUCGUUCAACAAUCUGGGCGACUGCGGCCAUGUUUCUCUUACUAUGCGCAGUCUUGGUGUGAAUGAACCUGCUCAAUAUACCAUAAAUACAAAGGAUGGUCGCAUGAUGAUUGACGCUAAAGGAUGGGCAAGGUUCAAAUCUAAAUCAUAUCUUGCGGUAGGGGAUGAUGUCAAAAUCGAACUUUCUUGGCAAGGAGAGCUGGUCCAAAUCAACUUUGAAAUUCUUCAGUAGCAGCACACAACUGCCGAACUGAUCUAUCCUCCGAGAGAUUUUGAUGUAAUAAUCUGGCAUGGUGAAACAAGUGUCCUGUGUGUAUAAGUAGUACGACAGUACUAUUUAUCACAUGGUAUAUCAUUGAUAGAAUUGCAACUCUGAUUGCUGGUUAGGAACUGUCGUUCGAUUUCAUUCCAAUAGCUGUCGUGCUUUAUUCAAUUUUGUGUGUUCGCCUUGCGACAACAUCUAAAACCAGUGCCGUACCGAUCGCUUGCAAUAUGAAAAGCGCUGAGGUAGAACACAUGGGCCCCCAACCAUGCAGGGUCGGCCUGCGGCCAAAAGUCCAGAAUCGUGAGCCUAUCUGAGUAUUAUAUUCUCAGCUGAACCCCCAUAAAAAAAGCUGCACCCCCAUAAUGCCCGUGCGUUGCAGAGAGAGUAUAUUUCUCGGCAAGGUGAGCCUGUGAUAUAAAAGAUCUGUAUAUUUCUUUAAAGAGGGAGUAUAUCUCUGUCAAAAUAUAUAUUUAUGUGUAACUAGUUACUCCUGUCUUUCUACUUCCUUUCGCUCAUAUGUGGGGCAACCGACAACGGGGUCCACGUGCCAUAUGCACAAAUUAAAGUGCACAACUUCACGGUAGACACACCCUGGUCGUAGCGCCGCAGUAAUGCCCAAUGAGCCGUCAAAUCACAACCUCCCCUUUCCAGCUUUAGCAGUAAGUUGGACGGACGAAGUGGCAAUAUUUCACUGGGCUUGAAUCUCCUUCUCCCUCGUCUGCUUGUUCAGAGAAAACCCCCUCUCGGCUAUUGCAUAGGGUUUUCUCAUGGAGAACCAGGUACGAAUUCUUCAUCGAUCCCCGAUAAACCCAAGUCCCUUGGUCGCAAGUAAUCCUAGGAUGGCAGCCGCCGUCGUUGAUGCAUUUUUCUUCCUACUGAAUCUAGUGUGCUUCAUUUGCAGUGCCCAAAGUGCAAGUACCCUACAGGUUUCUGCGCCCUCGGCGAGACGCCACACUUCUUCCUUGUCAUCCUAACACAACAUUUUGAAACGCGCACAGUAUGUUCCUAGAAUCCUCUUUUCUAUCCGGGAGGGUGGUUUUUUUUAACAUGAUGUGUUCUCAUAUUAUUUUUCCCGAAGUGUAUUAUUUGCUCUGCCAGAACACAUGUACUCAAGAUGCUGGGCCUUGCCAUAACUGAAUACACUAGUUUAAUGGUCACAGUGAAGACAAGCCAUGGAUAUAAGUUCCGAGUUGGGUUCAUGAACCAAGAAGGUCGCUGCUUUUUUUAUGGCCGGACUUGGAUAAACUUUCUCAAGUGUUAUGGACUGAAAGUUGGCGCACGAAUGUUGAUGGAAAUAGCAGAACCUGGUCUCAUCUUCAUUGCGAUCUUCCUCCCCGACAUCAUUCCAAUUGUUCAUCCAUGUUAGUUUUGUAUCUGGUUCUUGCUUGUUGCCUCGAUUACUUCUUAAUCCACCUAUUCUAUCUAACUAAUCACAAUUUAACUUUAGAAGUAGCAACGAAUCUCUCACGAAGAUGCUACUUCUAACUAAUAUUUUCUUAUAAUUGGUGGCAUGUGUAGGUUUUUUCAUAGUUAAGCAGUCUGCUAAUUUGUUACUCUGUAAUAACUCGACUGUUACUAAUGGCACCGAAGUUGACUGGAUCGACAUCGACAAGUUCCUACACUUUAUUGACGUUUUGAGGUCCUUGUGGGGCGUUUCAAUGGUGGAAGGCCACAUGGGAUAUGUGUGCCACUGCUGCACUCGUUGAACAGGUCCAACUGUGUCGAGAAACUUAUGGUACGAGUUGUUUUCUGUUAUAUAUGUUGUUCAUAAACUAUUGCUUAUACACAGUUUUACAGCUGUGAUCUUCUUGAAACAGGAACUGCCGAGUUCUAUUGUUCCUAUACAGAUGCCUGACCAUGGUCGGGUCAGACCUGCGCUUGGUCACAACAUGAUGUUUAUGUCGACCUACUCAAUUCCCCUUGGAGGUGAAAAGAUACUUAUUCAUGGGUGGUCUCAAAUAAUGAAGGCCCGUCCAUCUUGGAGAAUAGGACAGAAGAUUAUGUUCAUGCUUUUCCAUGGCUCUAAAGCGAAUAUCAUGUUUAUUGACCAUGUUGCAAGAUCAAGCCGCUUUCAGAAGGUUGUGGAUGCGCGGGGUGGCGCCUGGGCCUUAUCCUGGGGCUUGGCGGCCUCACCCUUGGUUAACUGUAGGCAAAGUAGCACUGUUCGAGGCGUGCUUUGUACGGUUAAACCUGUAUAAGUACUCAUACUGCUUUUAGCUUUGGUUGUUAAGUGCCCCUGCUAGUUUCAGUUAAGGUUGUUAAGUACUCCUGCUGCUUUUACAGUCUGUCAUGUUUCUUUAGUCCUGUCUUCCUCCAGCCACCAAAACCAAACCAGCGCCGGUGGGGCCGCCUGCUUCCGCCUCCCACGGCUGGCUGCGCCUCAGCGCACGCAUCGCCGCCCCACCGUCUCCUAAAUCAUUAACGCCGACGUCCUCUACGUGCUUUGGUGCGCUCGCCGCAGCGCCGCCCUCUCACGUUGUCAACAUGGUCAACAAACAACAGGAAUUGGUAGAAGUACGUGGAGAGGAUGACAGUAGGGGCCCACCACGUCAGCAUAUGGAAAAAUAAAAUGCUUCCUCCUAGUGUUUUCCUGACAUCUGGGACCCACGGCAUUGUGAGCGUAUAUAGUCAAUAGACAAGAGAACAACACAAGAUCGGCUGACACCUGGGACGUAGCUACUCGAGCAGUAUUUUUUUUGUUUGGUAUUGUUGAGACGGAGCAGGGUUUGAACUGGGCUGUGGCCCGUCUAGCCCAGGCUUAUAUUUUAUGUUCACCAUGUGACCAGCCCAGCUAUUUUUUCUUUGUGAAAAUGAGCCCAGUUUAUUUUUUCUGAAGAAUACCCAAUCCAGGCCUACUUAUUUUUCUACCCCCUGAUGGGCUGCAACUCUUUCAAGACGCCUGCAAAUCUUGAAAGUAAUAUGAAAUGGGUUGUAAAUAUAAAAAUAGAUGAAAAAUUGGCAAUUACUUUAUAAUUUUUGAAUUUUAUUACAUUUUCAGAUUCCUAUUUCACUAGGCAUUAACCUAAUUUAAAUAUAUCUUCAAAGUACUUUAAAUUUGGCUGGACAUUUCGGUAUUAAAAAUAGUUUGGAACCCACAGAAAUAUGCGAAAUUGGCCCUGGCCAACCAAAAAAACGACUGCAAUAAAUUGCAUAAGAAGUUGCCAUGAGCUAUAUAUAAAUUAUUAAAAAAAGAGGGAGUGGUCUGACUUGUGGGCCUGUUUAGUUGACGCGUAUGCAAUAUUUUUUUAGUUAUUAUAUACGUCAACAAACAAUUCGAGCAGAUGUAACCGUUGGAUGUCAAUCCAACAACCAUCGUGUUUCUUCAAUCUCUGAUCUUCUUGCUCCACCCGCCAAAGCAGCGCUGGCGGGACCGCCUACUCCCGCCUCCUGUGGCCGGCUGUGCUGCCGCGCAGGCCUCAUCGCCCCUACUACUCCCACCGCUGGCCAGGGCUUCCCUCUACUCACCCACACCCCCUGUUAUUCUGCGGCGACGGCAGCCUCACAUCGCAGCCGAACCGGUGAAUGCUCGUACUCCUCUCCGUGUGGGCACCCACUGCCGCGUCUUCCCCGGCUCCACGUCGUCCCCUUCCUAUGCCUCGCCGUCAUCCACCGCUGUGGUGCUCUCGGCGUGGCGUGGUCAAUGUGGUUAAACGACCGACUUCCAUCGGAAGAGUACUAUACGUGGAGAGGCUGACAGCUGGGUCCACGGCAGCCGCAAGGAAGUGCCUCCUUAUUAUGUGGAAAAUAAUUAUUCCUUCACCUGACAGCGGGGACCCACCGGAUGGGCCACCAGUAUUUUGCGAAAAAAAUCGUUUCCCCCUGACUGCUGGGACCCACCAGAUGGGCCACCAUAUUUUGCGAAAAAAACGUUCCCCUCGCUGUCAGCUCGGACCCACCGGAAGUGCCUCCUUAUUAUGCACAAAAAAAUGAAUACUCCCCCGGCUAGCUGGGACCCACCUUGGUGGGAGGCUGACUUGUGGGCCUACUAAGUUGACGGGGACGAAGGGCUUUGUCAACUUAGUCAAUAUGAAUGAUUCUAGCUCAAGUGAUCGUACAAUGUCCAUCCAAUGGCCGUAGUGCUUCUUCAACCUCUAGUCUUCUUGCUCCAGCUGCCCAAAGCAGCGCCGGUCGUGCCGCAUGCUCCUGCCUCCCGUGGCCGGCUAUGCUGCCGUGGAAGCCUCACCGCCCCCUACUAUUCCCACCGCUGGCUAGGCCCUGCGGCGACGGCAGCCUCACACCGCAGCCGAACCAGUGAACCCUCGUACUCUUCUCCGCGCGGGCUUCCGCUGCCGCAUCUUCCCCGGCUCCAUGUCGUCCCCUUCCUAGGCCUCGCCGUCGUCCACGCCGUGGUGCUCUCGGCACGGCGUGGUCAAUGUGGUCAAUGACCGACUUCCAUCAGAAGAGUACUGUGCAUGGAGACGCUGACAGCUGGGUCCACGGCCGCAGCAAGGAAGUGCCUCCUUAUUACGCGCAAAAUAAUUAUUCCUCCACCUGACAGCGGGGACCCACCAGACGGGCCACCGUAUUUCACGAAAAAAACGUUUGCCCCUGACUGCUGGGACCCACCAGCUACAUCUUUGCAUGCAAGGAAGUGCUUGGCAGUCGGGAUCCACCUGGUCGAAGCGUAUGUAGCGUUGUCAUUCUGGUCGCGAACGUGUACGUACAUAUAUACUGGUCGAUGUAGAGGCGCGCACGUGUCGUAGUAGAGGCGCGCAUGUAGCAUGUACAUGUACGUACAUCGGCCAGGGUGCAAGAAAGAAAAUACGGCCAUGUAUGUGUACAUACGGGCGGGGUCUCGAACGCCUACUCACGCAUACGUACGGCCAGGGCUCGUGUACAUGGCUGGGUCGGAACGGAGAAACAGUGUCGUCGUCGUGUUCAUGGGGAGGCAACGGAAUGCGUCAUGUUCAUGGGGAGGCAACGGAAUGCAUCGUGUUCAUGGGGAGGCAAUGGAAUGCGUCGUGUUCAUGGGGAGGCAACAGAAUGCAUCGUGUUCAUCGGGAGGGCUUGGACAGAACAUGCGAUGGAAACGAGGCCUGGCGUACCGCAGAACGGAGGAAACGGCCUUGUGUUCGACCGGCCACGUUCGAAAUGGGAUCAUGUUCAUCAGGAGGGGUCUGGCGUACCGCAAAAUGGACGAAACGGACCUCCUACUAUCAAAACGGGGGUCCUGUUGAUCGGGAGGGGUGUGGCGUACCGCAAAACGGACGAAAUAGACUUGUGUUGGAGCGCUACGGUCGAAAUGGGGGUUCUGUUCAUCGGGAGGGGUGUGGCGUACCACAAAACAGGACUCCACGGGAUACUGUUCAUAUCCACCAUCGACCCCCUCCAGCCUCCACGAGCUACUAUUCAUCCACUGUCGACCUCCUCCUGCCUCCACCUGCAACUGUUCAUCCAUGGGCUCCUGUUCAUCCAACCUCCACCUCGCGCUACUCCACCGGCUACUGUUCAACCAGCCCUCUCCACGGGCUCCUAUUCAACCAGCCCUCCACGGGCUACUGUUCAUCCCGCCCUCCACCGUCUAUUGUUCAUCCUGCCCUCCGCGGGGUGGUCCUGUUCAUCCAGCCCUCCACGGGGUCCUGUUCAUCCAGCCCCAACCGGCUCGAUCGAUCGGGGUCCUGUUCAUCCAGAGGCAACACCACGGGGUCCUGUUCAUCCACCCCCACCGGGAACUGUUCAUCCAGAGGCAGUAUCGAUCGGCUUCAGUUAGCAGCAGUAGCGAAGGAAUCGCUCGAUCGGGUUCAGUUAAUAGCCAUCGAUCAAUCGCUCGUGUUCAGUAACGCGUAGCCUGCAGUGCAAUCGCUCGGGUUCAGUUAGAGCCCAACGCCUCACUCGGGUUCAGUUAGAGCCAACGCCUCGCACACACGCGCGUACGUGUACGAGAGAAGCGCGCAUCACUCGGCCCCCAACCUCCCACCGUAACUAGGAACUCCCCGAAAUUUUCCUCGCCCUCGUUUCUACCACGGUUUUUUCCGUCAUGGACGGCCCAAAGAAUGUCAUGCAGCUGUGUCUCCGGCCCGCCCAAGACUAAAAGUCCAUUUUCUGUCAUGAUUUUUUUCAUAGAAGUAGGAGCCCACCACAUCUAUGAUGAUACUGGGUUUUGUCACAAUUAUCGUCAUAGAAGUGUCAUAUGUAUGACAGGAAAAAAUUCGUUCGGCCCAAAAUGUCACGGAUUUGUCUUUUUUUUGUAGAGUUAGGCGAAGCCCUGCGCCGGUAACUUCAUCAUCACCAUCAACAUGUCAUCGUGCUAAUGAAACUCUCCCUCAUCCUCAACUGGAUGAAGAGCUCGAGGGACGUCAUUGAGCUGAAUGUGUGCUGAACAUGGAGGUGCCGUACGUUCGGUGCUUGGACCGGUUGAAUCGCGAAGACGUUCAACUACAUCAACCGUGUUACUAAACGCUUCCGCUUUCGGUCUACGAGGGUAUGUGGACACACUCUCCCCUCUUGUUGCUAUUCAUCACCUAGAUAGAUCUUGCGUGAUCGUAGGAAUUUUUUUGAAAUACUACGUUCCCCGACAACGCCUUCAUCUCCUCCCGAUCUAGUUUCCAUCCAAUCCAUUCUCUGGGUUGUGGUGUGAAUCACUUGGGAGGGACCGGUUCGGGGUGUUCACUUGCGGAUUGACCGCCGGAGUUCCUCAUGGCGCGUACCAAGCAAUGCGGCCCUACUCCUUCUUCCCGGGGUAUGGCUGCUAUUCACUGCAUAAGCCCAAGGGGAUUGAUGAUUGUUUGCCCCUUGUUAAGCCUGCCACUCAGCUCACUGAGGAGGAACAUGGGUAUCCACCCAAUGAGUUAUCCAUCUUCAAGUCACCCUACUACAUUCUCUAUCAGUGUGUGCUUUGCACACUCUAUCCUAAGAAGGGAGAUCGUUCAAGGGCUCGCAAUUCUUGCAUUGACUUUAUGGUUCGUAUGCACAAGAAGCCUUCCAAGCCUCUUGACACAGCCCAUUACAUUUAGCAUGAGAUUUGUGUCUCCAGCUUCUUUUAGACGCGCCAGUUCCCUCAUGCUCUAUUCAUUCAGGCGCUCAUUGAUCACACUGCUCCUUUUGAGGUUGCAAAGACGGCAGUGCAUGCCAUUUGGAAACCUCCUACUCAUAUGCGCAUGGCAGCUCCUGCACCAUCUGCUGCACCCCGUCCGCCUAGGAAGUCUGCUAGUGGGUCACAACCCAUGGGUUCCUCCGUGCCCUCCUCCUCGAUAGCGCAUCGUGGCCGUCUUGCCUCGUUUCUAGGCAAGGCUCAGUCUUCUAUCAUGAAGGCUAUCACAUUUAACUUUCAAAAAAUCAUGAUGUUCAGAAGCGUCUUAUCAUCUCCAAGAAUCAGCUCAAGCAGCACCUUCGCGACCAUGGGAGUCCCGUGAGUGAUGAUGAUCCUAUUCCCAUGGCACCAUCCACUUCCACCUUCGGGUUCCCGUCUCGUGAUGAGUAUGCCGAGUUCUUUGAUGAUGAUGACAUCCGCUAGGAGUGAUUUCUAUGGAGCUCUUCUAGUUCUUCGCCCCUUUUUGCAUGUUGCUAUCAAAGGGGGAGAAGUAGUAUCUUAGUUGGGUCAACUAUAUGUUCGCUAUUAUUCUAACUCUUUAUGUAUGCUACAUUUGGUACUUAAUCGUUUGAGACUAUGUUGUUAUCAUUGUGGCUAUGGAUUGUUGUUGUGGUUGUUUCAUAUGUGCGUGUCAUAUCUUCCUAUCUUUUUGGGCUACAUAUGCUUCCAUGAGAAUGUGUGUUGCACAUCCUAACCUAAUCAUCUCAUGCACACAAUAAGGGGGAGCUAAAGCAAAUAGGAACAUAUAUUGUAUUAUGCUCCCAUGAUUUACAAUGCUAAAUUUAUUUAUUGCAUCUAUGAUACUACAUGUAUGAUUGUCAUCAACAAACAAAAAGGGGGAGAUUGAAAGUGCAAUCAUGCCCUUACAUCAUGUUUUGAUGUUGAUGACAAUAUACAUGUAGGGGACUAACUAUGUUCGUCAAGUGAAUCUCAGGUGUUAGUCCCCGGUUCAUCAAAUGUGUGUUGAUCGUGAACAUACGAAGUUCAUUUUACUCAAGGAAGAAGUAUCAAAACGGAGUUGAUUUUACUCAAGGAAGAAGUAUCAAAAAGGUUACAUAAUUGUUUUCUUGAGUAUAGGAUCCUGCAUUAUUAAGAGGGGAUUGGUAGGGUUAGUAAAAGACAUGCUCAUGACACAAAACUCCUUCUUUAGAUCUAUCACUAUUUUCUCUAGCUUGUUCUGCCUCUAGCCCGGUCGGAUGUCCGGGCCGCACACCAGAUAUUCGGCCCGCAUGCCGAAUAUACGAACUCAGCUAUCUAGAGAACACUUGCACUGGUGCUGUCUUCCGGAUGUCCGGCCCUCCAUGCCGGAUGUCCGGGCUCUCCAUGCAUCCCGGAUUUCCUAGAUUCCUUGCUGGAUAUCUGGCUCAUGCUAUCCAGGGGGCUGUUCGACUAGGUGAACUUGCCGGAUGUCCGGCCACGUGCCGGAUGUCCGGGCUUUCCUGUGUCACCGGAUGUCCGGGCUUUGCCCCGGAUGUCCAGCCCCUCUGCUUCAUCCUCUGCUUUCUGCUUUAUGAUGGUAGUGCUACACUAGGUCGGAUGUCUGGCCCCUGUCACGGAUGUCCGGCCUACCCUGUCAUUUGCACUACAACGACCAUAUUUUCUCUCACACCAUAUAUAGCCCUCUUCCCCCAUGGGAGAGGGUUGACCAUUCACUUUGAGCCAACCCUAGAACACAUUUCACUCUCUCUCACUCUUCCACACCAAACCUUAGAUCCCUAAGGGAUUUGAGAGAAUUUGAGAGAAGUUGUCCGCCCAAGUGAUAGAUCCACUCCUUCCCCUUCUUUGCACCAAAGGAAUUUGUGAUUUGAGGAAGUCUUGAUCUUUUCCCCAUCGUUCUUGUUCUCUUGGAGGUUGGGGACUCCUAGGCGGUAGGAGUCUUUCGGAGAGGAAUCGACCAUUGUGAUUAUCCUUGGAAAUGGUUGUGGGGGUUGGAGACCACCCCAAGGAAGUGAACAUCGGCAUACAUCCUCGUCGCUCGGAGUUGCGGUUAUUCCUAACCCUAACUCUCUACUUGUGGUUACUUGUCUCUUAGCACCUACUUAUAUCAUAUUGUUCUUGUUUACUCACAUAUUUGUGUUACUUGUUUAUCUUGCUUAGCUCUUAGCAUCAUACUUGCAAUUGUUAGGCUCACUUUCAUAUUCCGCAUUAUUGCCUAAAAUUGCUAAGUAAUAAUCAAAAUUUGUAAUUGUACCUAUUCACCCCCUCUAGGUCCAUCUCGAUCCUUUCAGCUGGGCCGGCCCAUUAAGCGCGUCAGGGGAUGGCUUUGGGCCGCCCUAGUGUCGGUUCAACACUUAACGCGGCACACUGCACCCAUCUCGAACACACUGUCUUAGCUGAGCUGGUCCAAGCGAGCCAUAGACACUGCAUCGGUGCGCAAGCGAGGACGGCACACCAAAUUUUUUGUUUAACUAGUGGACCCGUUGCGCCAAAUGACGCAAAGACCCGUUGAAUCCAUGUGCACAAAAUCCAUGGUUUAAUUGGUUUAGUUCUGGGCGAACACAUAUGGUAACAAAUUUAAGAACGCCCAUUGCACCAAAUGGAUGGAGUAUAUUUAAAACCAUGAGUGCUUUGAAAAUAUUUGUUUGUGUUGAUAAAAUUAGGUUUUGGCAACCACUUAGGAUGCCAAAUGCCACAAGUCAUAUUUCAAACCCGAAGUGUUUGAAAAUGUUUGUAAUUGUCAAUAAAAUUUGAUUUUAUGAACAACUUAAGUACCAAUUCAAACCCUUUAAAAACCCCUUAGAUGUGAAAUGAUGCAAAGUCCCAAUUUAGAACAAGAGUUAUCUAACAUGUUUUACAUUUAUCCUUUAAAUCUAAGUGUUAGAUACAAUUUCACUACACAUAGAAAAUUUCAAGCUUAAAAACAAUGAUAUAUUCAAAAGAAAUAACUUGAUAGGAAAUUAUGCCUAUUGCUAAACCACAACUUGACAGCAUUAAUGUAUUUAUAUAUAUAUAUAUAUAUCACCAAGUCAUAUGUCCAUAAUAAAAAAAAUCAAGUAAAAUGGAUCCACAAAACAAUUUAGCUUCAGAGCAUGAUUUUUUUAACAUGUCAACGGCAGGCUUACGCCUGCCUGAACUUUAUUACCAACUGAAGAAGCCAUUACAAGAGUUCAGAAUUACAUAAGGAGAGAGGUGGUAUUGAAGGGGAAGAUUACAAGUUAAGGUACAAAAACUAUAAUCUCUUAGCAAAGUGGGACAACAUAGAGGACCAAGCAUUGAGCAGAGUCCGUUUUGGAAUACUUUUGCAGUGAUGCGCCCAAAGGUGGAGAUCGUCUGCAGCCGCCCUGGCAAUGGAGUGAAGACCUUAGUGCUCGGCUCGAAAUACCAUUGCAUUGCGUCAUUUCCAGAUGUUCCAUAGAAUGGCCAUGAGCACCGUGGAGCAGGUUUAAUUUGUCAGCUGGUCGUUCGUGUGCAGAAUACUGAUCUAUCCUUUUCUUCGUAUCUUUUUUUUUCUCCGAACUUGAGUAUAAUGCCUUUCUCCUAUUCAUGGCUCUUGACCGACAAUUUUCGAACUAUCAUAGUUAACUUUUCAUUCUGUGAGAAAUCUGUAAUGGGUCUUAACCAAUGUCAUCACCAAAGUUUAUGAGGGAAAGAAAGCGUUGUAACUGGAUUGUUGCUUUUUCAGUUUCAAGUUAGCAUUUCUAGACUUUUAUGGUAAUUAAAGCUCGUAUAUUGUUUUCAAAAGAAAAUCUAAGAAUGAAGUACACAAUAUUGUAAAUGGGAAAGUAGAAAAAUCAAAUCAUAUACUCUGACACAUAUUGCAGAAAGAGAAGCGUGAAGCACACUUCCUUGAAAUUUGAACACAAGUGAACAUUCCUUUCUGUUGAGCCUACUAUUUAUCUUUUUUUGAAAAGGAGGAUGACCCCUGCCUUUGGAUCAAUCGAUGCAUACAACCAUAUUAUAAAAUAAAAAAAUAACAAAGUCUUAAGGUCCAAAGAAGCUCAUAAACUAGCACUAGUACGCGUUGGUCCUAAAAACGGUUUUUAACCCCUUUCCGUGAUGGCAUUUGGAACCGUCGCCAAGUGAGUGUGGGAGAUAGGGGGGUCCUUCCCACACGACCCAAAAACCGUCGGGGGUAUGCCCUCCUGGAACACACGCUCGGCAAAAUGAGUUCGUGUGCGAUCGGAGAGCGUUCAAAUACGGAAAUACAUACAAUAGAGCUAAAAAAUACAAUUACACGACGAAAAUGUUUCCGGUCGCUAGUACAUCCCACACAGUCAGUCCCCGCUAAACGUUUCUGUUCGUAUCUACAUCCCUCACAGUCGCUCCAAGGAAAACGUUUCUGUUCACAGGUACAUCACACAUAAAUUUUCCCGUAAAAUUGUUUGCUUUAUUGAAUGUAUCACACAUGGUCCAUAGAAGAAGCUGUGUGGCAAAGGCUAUCCAUCACACACCGUUUUUAUGUGGUAAAUGUUUGCGCAAGGUGGCCUAACGCAAACAGUUUUCAAGAGAAAGUCAUGUGUGAUUGUUCAUUGUUCCAACACGGUUUAUUCCUAGAAACUGUGUGUGUUGCCUGAGGUCAUCGCCCACGGUAUUUUUUCAACAACCGUUUGCAAUAGCAAAACCCAAUUAGCAGGCUAAUUCGCUAAUUUUCCCUAUUAUCAAUAAUCCAUUUAUUAAUCUAAUUGAUAUUCAUAUUAAGCACAUAAUAUAUUUCAUUUCCAUAUUAAGGAAGCAUAAUUUCAUAAUUGAAAUACAUCAGAGUACAACAUGAUAUAUCUUCAGCACUCAGCUACCCCAAUACACAACUGCACCAGCACCAAGUUUCACAUGCAACAUGUAGAACCUUUCGAAAUUAGCAUCAUAGAUGGUAUAUAGACAUAUGCAUCUUAUCUGGAAAAAUGUUGAAGCGGAAGGCCAAUAUUGAGCCUUCAUUCAUGUUGAAGGUCUUUGCAACUUUAUGCCAGUGCCUGUGGAUGAUUGACUGUCCGUCCUUUGUCCUCUUCAGGAACACUUCAAUAUUGAACCGUGGGUGUUGUAUGACAACCUUCCUCGCCUCCUGACCAUAGAGGUGGGUUGAGAGGUAAUCAUCAGUGAACUGCUUUGGAAAGGCCUGAAAGCAAGGAUGUGUAUAGAUAUCUUCUCUAUAUUGGAAAUGGGGCAAAGGAAUAAAAAAGGCAAGGUAUAAUAGUUAGUACCAUCUUGUAGUGAACUGAUGUCUUCUUCAUUAUGCAGAUAAAGAUCUUGUUGUUUUUUGUCGCUAAUUUCUUUAUCCUAACAAUCUUUCUGAGUUUCUUGAUUUGAUUGAUAUUCAUGGACAACUCAUUUCCCCAUAUGCAAAAAGGGUCAAAUAGUGGGUCAAACCCUCUGACAGCAGGACCUACAUGUGCAACACCAAAUUGUUAAAAACCAAAAUAUUUGAAUGGUUCCUACAAUUGCACAAUAAUGUGCUAUUAGACAAGGGACCAUGCAUGUGCUAACCUCGAUUGUAAACCUCAGUGCUUCCCAUUGUUUUCCUGCAACACAUAUAAGGUAGUUAGUCAUCAGGUUAAGUAUUUACUACAGCCAAAUUCAGUUUAUUCCUCACAUCGUAUACAAUAAAAUAAUGCACCCACAACUAUUGAACAUCGCAUUGCAGAAUUGAACAAACAGUUAAUUAAACACCACAACACAAAUGAACCAAACGUUAACUGAGCACCACAUUGCACAAUGUAUAACCAAACCAAGCACGCUUGACAACUUGGAAAUAUAGCAAUUGUAUUCGUUUCUCAUGUAUUUUGUAAAGAUAAAUUCGAUUUAUUUCUCACAUGGAAGACAAUACAAAAUUGCAGCCUGAAGAAUUGAACAUCACAUUUGUAGAAUUGAACCAAACAGUUAACUGAAGACGACAACUAAUUAACAAAACAGUUAAUAAGUGAGCACCACACUGCACGACAUAUAGAACAUAUACACUAGAGCAACAGAUUGCAUGGUAAAAUUAGAUAGCACAAUUCACUAGAAUUUAUGAAGGAAAUGCAGGAGCAGCACAGGCAACGGGUAAACCGAGCAUGAUUAACCAACAUAGCUAGCAAAUGGCAAGGUGCUCCCCCAAGAUCUGGCAGCCAUCGCGACCUCAGCUGUGCAUGCGGCCGCGAUUUGCUUCUCCGCUGCCAAAUGCUCCUUGAGAUCCUAGCUAUACUGCGUGCACCAUGGCUUAGGGCUGCACUUAUUUGGUGGAGGGGUCGGUGAUUUGGGUGGAAGGUGUCGCGCUCGCACCGAUGGUCGGGGCAUGUGGGAUGUGGAAGGAGGAGGAGGAUGGGGGUCGAGUGUGGAUUACCUGCCUGGAUAGACGAGGCCGAGUAGCGUGAAGGAGGGUCGCCGACGAGGAGGCGGCGCUGCAAGCAAGGAGUGAGGUUUCAACUAGGAAAGUAAGGCAGAAACAGGGGAAAUGUGGCUUUUGAUAAGGGGGAGGGGGCAUGGAGGUAGAUUUCCGCGGAAGCCAAAAAUUUGGAAUCGCUUCAGCGAAAAAACUAGCGUGGAAAGUGUUAUCAGACCCGGUCCCUUAUUCAGAACUGCGUACAAUAUGUGAACAUGACAAAUGAUUCAGAUAGCAUAACCUGUGUGUGAUGAGUUUGAACAUCAAAAAUUUUGGUUCGAAUUUCCCUGGUUACAGUGGUCAUCCACGUCAUUGCAUAAUUUGGGUACACAAAGGAGACUAACUUCUUAAUCGAGCAAGUUCAGCAAUUAAACAGAGCUAGCUGACCUAAACAUUACUCUAACAAAUUAAAGACCGGCGCUCUUAAUUAAACAAAACAAAGAGUACUACAACGAAUGGUGCUCGUCGAUCUCCUCCGCCUCCAUGUCCAGCUCGCGCCCGACGGUCACCUGGGGAAGGGGCUCCAUGGCAUCCAUCGCACCAUACUCGGCAAGCAUCCCGCCAUCCGCGUCUGCCAUCUCUUUGGAAAAACACUACAAGAAAUAUGUCAACUAGUGACCUUCUGUCAGUGACCCUAAAAGAAUUGGUCAUAGAUCUAUGACCAUUUCAGACCAAUUGGUCAAAAGCUGUUCGGGGGCCUCCAAACCCUAAACUAUAACAACCAUUUUGGUCAGAAAGGCCGUAAUUUCCUUACACGAAAUGGUCAUAAAGCAGAUAGCACUGGUCUGCUGCCUUAUUUCUAGCUGAUCAUGACCAAUAUAGAUGGUCAUAACCUUGUAAAUUGUGGUGGGUUGCUAUGACUAGGCGCCACCUCAUCAGUUUUGCCUAUGUGUCUUGUCCAUGUGGCAGUUUUUUCCCUAGGUUGUGAAGCAACCUAUAUUUCUGUCAUUCCCAAAAUUCCCAAAAAAAUCUCAUAAAUUCGUUGGGUCAUAUCUUUUUCAAAUAUGUAAAAAAUCUUCCUUGCCUAGUUCAAAAAUAAUUCAAGAAUAUUCAUUUUCCUAUUCUAUUCAGAACAACAGUUUGUGAAGGAAGUACCACUUUGGCAUGUCCAAAUAGUAUCCAUUUUCUACAGUGCUUUCCUAUGCCCAAAUAACCAUCCUCCGCCAAAUGCCAACUCAAUCCAUUCAUCAUUUUGAGCCCAGCUUCAACAUUCAUAUUUAUGUCCAGUGUGGUGCUUUGCAAAGCAAGUACCACCUAGGCUCCUCCUUUUGAACUAAAAAUUUGUGAAUACGGUCUUCUUAGUAACCGAUCAUCCUCAGACAAAACGCAUGCCCAUUAGCCAUGUACAUUUCCCGUACCGCUAAUCAAACACUUGGCUGCUAAUUCAUGUUUGAGCAUCGAUCGGUAUCCUCAUGCGAAUCUUAUGUUGUAAUUUUCUUCCUAGCACCUACCUGGGGAGUGCCCAACCCACUAGACAUGCCUAGGCUGCCCAGAACACAUGGCAACGCCACGGUCACGCGGUGACCACGCAGCGGGCAUGCGAGUUUACACGCUCUAGAGUUGGGGGCCUGGGCCACCACCCAAACCUCGACGUAUCGCCACCAAACCAUGUAUUUAUCAUUAAAUAGGUACUUAUGUAACUAUAAAUGAUUUUUCGAAAAAAUAAAUAGUAAACUAUGAGGCAGCUGCAGUUCAAAUUUGACCCGCUUCCAACUGAAUCGGUGGGAAUUUGUCGUUUUCACCAGAGGUGGAUCAAAACUUUUGACACCAAACUAUUUUGUCAAUUGUGCAUUAAAUAUGGCCUAGUAUUUUAGAAAAUUUAUUUGGUCCAAUUUUGCAAGAAAUAUAUGGUAGGUCCUUCACAAAAAAACUCAUUUCGGGCACUCGGAAAAUUGAAAAUGUAUUUUCCGUGCAAAGAAAAUGAAAACUCCCUUAGGCAACAUUGUUUGGAAUUCCAAGAUGCACCCUUGUGCACAAUAUGAGAUCAUUUGAACAAACUAUGCCAAGAAUGUGGCCAUAAGAUUGAUCAUUUCGCUUGAAAGCCAUGAAUCUUCACGCAUGAUAGCUCAUUUCUAAGAACACUUUUUUAAAAUAAGUGCCGUACUACAAGUUUAUUAUUUUUCCUGGAAACAUGGUCACAUAUAAUGACACAAUGCGAAGGUUUUCCAAUUUUUUGAUUUUUAUUUUAUUUUUAUGCCCAUUUCAAAAUGCGGUCAAAACGGCGGGCUUGACCGUUCCUAGCUAGUGGUUGAAUCUUGGAAUUUUUUUGGUGUUUCUAUGAUUAAAUAGAUACUUAUGUACCUAGAAAUUAUUUUUGUAAAAAUUAAAGGGAAAACUAUGAGGCAGCUGCAGUUCAAAUUUGACCCGCUUCCAACUAAAUCGGCGAAAAUUUGUCUUUUUCAUGAGAGGUGGAUGAAAACUUUUUACACCCAACCAUUUGGUCAAUUGUGCAUUAAAUAUGGCCUAGUAUUUUAGGAAAAUGAUUUGGUCCAAUUUUGCAACAAAUAUAUGGUAGGCCCUUCACACAAAAAACUCAUUCAGGCACUCAAAAAAUAGAAAAUGAAUUUUCCGUGCAAAAAAAUGAAAACUCCCUUAGGCAACAUUGUUUGGAAUUCCAAGAUGCACCCUUGUGCACAAUAUGAGAUCAUUUGAAAAAACUAUGCCAUGAUUGUGGCUAUAAGAUUGAUCAUUUGGUUUGAAAGUCAUGAAUCUUCACGCAUGAUAGCUCAUUUCUAAGAACACUUUUUUUAAAAUAAUUCCCGUAUUACAGGUUUAUUAUUUUUUCUGGUAACUUGGUCACAUAUAAUGAUACAAUGAGAAGGUUUUCCAUUUUUUUGAUUUUUUUUGAAUUUUCUAUGCCCGUUUCAAAAUGCGGUCAAAACGGUGGGCUGGAUUGUUCCUAGCUAGUGGUUGAAUGUUGGAAAACUUUUGAUGUUUCUCUGAUUAAAUAGAUACUUAUGUACCUAUAAAUUAUUUUUGAAAAAAAUAAAGAGCAAACUAUGAGGCAACUACAGUUCAAAUUUGACCCGCUUCCAACUGAAUCGGCAGAAAUUUGUCUUUUUCACGAGAGGUGGAUGAAAACUUUUUACACCCAACCAUUUGGUCAAUUGUGCAUUAAAUAUGACGUAGUAUUUUAUAAAAUUGAUUAGGUCCAAUUUUACAACAAAUUUAUGGUAGGUCCUUCACAAAAAAACUCAUUCCGGGCACUUAAAAAUGAAAAAUAAAUUUCCGUGCAAAGAAAAUGAAAACUCCCUUAGGCAACAUUGUUUGGAAUUCCAAGAUGCACCCUUGUGCACAAUAUGAGAUAAUUUGAACAAACUAUGCCAUGAAUGUGGCCAUAAGAUCGAUCAUUUGGCUUGAAAGCCAUAAAUCUUCGCGCCUGAUAGCUCAUUUCUUAGAACACUUUUUAAAAAUAAUUGCCGUAUUACAAGUUUAUUAUUUUUCCUGGCCACUUGAUCAUAUAUAAUGACACAAUGCGAAGGUUCUCCAUUUUUUAUUUUUUAUUUUGAAUUUUUUAUGCCCCUUUCAAAAUGCAGUCAAAACGGCGAGCAUGACCGUUCGUAGCUAGUUUGUUGAAUCUUGGAGUGAUGCUAUUUUGGAACAAACAUUUUUUAGGUUCUUCACAAAAAAACCAUUUAUGCACUGAGAAAAUAGAAAAAGAUUUUUUUAUGCAAUAAAAAUUAAAGCACUGUUUGGCAACAUUGUUUGCUAUUUCAAGAUGCACACUUAUGCAAAUACGAGAUCAUUUUGACGAACUAUGCCAUCAUUAUGUUUUUAAAAAGAAUUAGGGAUUUGAGUCCAAUUUUUUGAAAUUCAAGCGCGAGACAGCCGACCAAUGAGACGCGAGGAAUCACCUUCACGCGGAUCACCAAAUUGGACGCAAUAUGAGCCGUCUAUCGCGCACCCAUCCAACGGUGGAGAUUCUCCCGAGUAACAAAAACCCUAACCCACCCACCCACCCUCCUCGAUCCCCGUCGCCGCCACCCCCACCCACCCACUCCUGACCCACCCUCUCGGCCUCUUCCCCUCCCCUCGAUCCCCUAGAUCCGAUCGACCCAGAUCCGAUUGGCAUGCCCUGCCACCACCCCCACCCACCCGUCGUUGAUCCACCCUCGCGCUCGGUAGCGCCGCCCUCCUCCUUCUCUCUGCAGUCCAUGGACGGCACCACAGCCUCGUCUCCACGGCUGCUCCACAACGCCUCUCAUGACCGCGCCUGCAGCGUUACGGCGGCGAUGUUCCGAGAACUUGAUGCCAUGCUCCGUCGCGGCUCCUUCACUGUCCGCCGCUCCUCCGGGCUCUGCACCUCACCAACUCCCCCCUCUGUCACGACCUCUCGUUCGUGCUAGAGGCAGCCACGUCCUUGAUGGUUGCUGCUGGAUUCUACCCCUCCAAGUUGCUCAGACGCCUCCCCAACAAGGCCGCUGCCAUCACCAAAAGCCAGGAUGAAAGCCAGGAAGCCCUACACCAUCACCAAAAUCCUAGGAGAUCUGGACCGAGCCCGAGCACGACAAGUUCCUCGAGGUGCUGCAGCUGUGAGUCGCCCCCUGCCCCCCAAUCCCCGCCCUACUCUUCGGUAACGGACGGUGUCAGUCGGGGGAUUAGAUUAUGUCGAUUCCUAAUUGGUUUUGCUUGCUGGCCGAAUUGGCUUGGUUAGAUUUCUACAUAAUCUCUAUACGGGGAUCCGUUUAUGGCUAGCAGAGGUCGAGCAUAUACAAACAAAAGACAUAGUACGUGUUUUAUUGGAUGUAUGUUUUAAAGCACGGGGGAGGUUUUAUUUUACUUUCUGUAAGUUAUGAUUCAUGUCUAACUAAUGUAUCACCCGGAUUGUAUACUUUUGGGUUUUGGUUGGAGUGCAUGUUGUAUGUAUAUCCGUAGCUAGGAAGAGAGAGGGGGAAAAGUGAUUUUGAUAAGGAGUUCAGCUACAUUUAUGUUAGUUAUAGGUAGCGAGUAUGUAACUGACAGUACUAUGAAGCAAUUCAUCUCUUUAUUUUUGUCUGUUAUUAUAGGUUUGAUCAUGAUUGGAAAAAGAUAGAAGCACCGCCGACCACUUGUGGUGGUCCGAACCUCCGGGCGCCGCAGCACCACGCCGUCCUGACGCCGACCCAGUCGCAAAUGGCGGCCAUCUCUGGUAUGUAAUAUAUGUCUUCAACCUAUAACAGAAUUGGAUCUUGUUAUCAGUAUGUGCGGAAUGCUGUGGGUCAAGUCAAUACUUAGCAUUGGUUGACUGUGAGCAACUCAGAAAUUAGACAUGUGAACUGCAGCGUAUCUCAGUAAGUUUUGAAGAGAAGAGAAACAUCACCUGUCCAUCUGAGUGCAGAUAUUUUUCUCUGCUCCAGAAUUCCUAAGAUUUUUCUUGUCUUCCAAACUAGAGUUGGUCCAACAUAGAACUAUAUUGCUUUAGAGUUCAAUUCAGAAGGAGAUUGAUCAUACCCAAAUCAGACACACCAGGAGUCUAUCUCACCUGUCGCUGCAUUGUUUUGAUCGCAGGGAACCAGGCUCUCAAAACCGAGUCAAACUCCGACAACGAGUCAUUGGUCGAGAUAGGGGGCGGCCGAUGCAAGCGAAGCGACGAGUCAUCAGAUACCAGGUUUAUAAGAAGGUAUGCAGAGAUCAAGUCUGGGUCCAGUUAUUAUCAGGAUACAACAUAGAAACCUACACUACCAGUAGUAGUAUGAAUCUAAGAACUCACCCUGUUUGUCUGAUCUUUGCAGCUGCUAGAUUUGAGUGGUAUCCUCACUGUAUUCUUCUGUGGUAUUGUGAUGUCAUAUUACACCUGGCAUAACGUGACAGAGAGAGUUACAACAAAGUAACCUUAGUUCUUAGUCUGUGUUAUUUCAAUAUAAGCAAUCUUCUGUUUAGUCAAAAACUGUUGUAGGUGCUACUACGAGUAGUGCUUGUAAUUUUGUUUUGCUGUACCAAUCAUCAAUUAAUUCCCUGGUUACUACUAUGUAGGGGAUGUUACUGUUCAGUCAAAAACCUGCAUUGCAAGAUAUACUGCAGUGCAUGUCCUUGUGGUACUAUGGGGUUUAUUAGCUGUUUGGAGAUGUACUCAUAUUGUGCCAUGUAUUUUAUUACCUAUAUGAUUACACAUGUCAGUUUUAUUAUCAAAAUCUGAACUGUAGUAGUCAUAAUAUUGGGCUGUUGGGAGCCUCACCUUUUUGUGCACAAUACGUUUAGCAGACAUAUCCACACUCAGUGCUUAUGAAAUAGCUAUGUGUCCUGCACAAUAAGUGCUUAUUCAUUUGGUUUUCCCUAAACUUUGUUUGUAUGCUUGAGAGAAAAUUUAGUUGAUUCUUUUAUGGAGCACUAAGACUAUGCGUGGAUCAUUUUUUAAGAUCUAAAACUGCUCGUCGUUCCUGUGAUGAUGUAGUUUAGUAGAUCUCAAUUGAAUCAUGACAUCUGGUGCAAUCCUUGGUGAAAAACUGUAUGGGUAAAUGAUCACUAAACUAAGGAGGCUUAACCUGAUAAUAACUAGUGCAUGUAUAUGUUUGGGUGCUUGUCAAUUAGAGAAUGUCUAUGUUACCAUGCAUGUAUUAUGUGCCAGUGUAGCUAUACUGAUGCUCUGGUUUUCAUCUGUGCAGCAGAGGACAAGGGCGUCAUGGCCAACCAAGGCGCAUGGUGCUCGCAAGCGGCGAACGAAGGCUGUUUGACAUUGGCACGGAGGAGGACGGGCACGGACGGGGGAGGACAGAGCACCUCUCUUCUUCCAGGUUCUUCUCCUUAUCUUCACUUAAUGUAUAUGCCUAUGCUGCAGCUCACCCAUGGUUUGAUUGUCCUGCAGGUUAGUGAGCAGCUUCAGGAGGAGUUCAAGCACGACCACCAAGAGGCACCACCGCAGCAACAGGUAGCACGUCCAUCUCCACCUCCCUCUCCCUCUUCUCCCAAUCCUUUUUAUUAGAUUAUGUUGAGUACAAUCUGAACCCCCUGAUGUGACACAAGUAUAUGCACAUGCUAUGGUUUAAGUGUUGCUUGUGUAUGGUAAAUAGGUUGAGCACCCACCGCUGUUUGAUACUAUUUUGUUUAGGAUUCUAUUCCUCUAUGUGUGUAAUCUCCAGACCAUGAUCAAGCAUACACACAUGGUUGAUUUGCAUGGAACGAUUACUACUAACUAAAGAAGGAAGCAGACUUCUUCACAUAAAGGAAGAUAUGUCUGUUUUAGUAAUAUAAACAAAUAAAACAAGAUUGUUUGCAUACAAUCAGAUCAUUCUCACUUAUUAGUUGAGUUCUAAGUACGUAGAAUCUUUAGUUCUCUGGUUAUAUUAUAGUCGGAAUUAUACUGUGUGACUGAGUUCUGUUGGGAGUGUGCAUGAUUUUAUCCAUAGCCGGCACUAUGGAUAGAGCUUUGCGUGUAAUCUGGAGUUGUUCCCGUUAUUGUUCUAUCCAUUUAUUGGUGUUACAUGUGUAGCCAGUAACCAGGACAUGCACUUGUGCCAUGCAUAUUCAUAUAGUCUCUAUUGUCUUGUAUGAAUAUCUCAUUUUAACUAGCUCGGCUAAGAAAGCUUGGUACUAGCUGAAAUCUAUUUAUCAUUAUAUAAAGAAUUGUCCUUUACUCCUUCACUACUUUUUUGAAUGGAAUGUUCAUAUUAUAUUGGCUCCAGUUUUUCUAAUUCUUCUCAGCCGAUUCAUGUAACAGGGCGACUGUGGAAGGCAUGUUGUAUUUCUGUCAGCCCAGUCCUGACUAUGUCUGUCCGUGAGUCCGACAUUUGAUUGAUGUUGAAGGAGCUCCAUGCUGAAGAAGAAAACACUUGUAGAGCUUGUAACAUUACUUGGAGAGCUUGUAAAGUACUGUAGAGCUUUGUAUUUGUAGAGCUAGUAAAGCAUUGUAUACAUUAGAGCUUGUAUUACGUGUCAUUUGUAGAGCUUGUAGUGAAUCUGGCUAUUGUUAUUUGAAUAAAUAUGUGUGUUUUCUGCUUGCCUAUUUAAAUACUGGUUAUUUCUUACUAUGAAAUCCAAAUAUGAUGUCAAAUUGA
rnacentral:lncRNA from 1 species